GUUACAGCUCACACUGCGCAACUUCAUUGAACUUCUACGAAGAGAAAAAUAGACAAAAGAAGAAUCUUUUAUGCAUAGUUGCAAAAUGCAAUGUAUACCUGAGUAGCAAGAACCUGUAACGCAGAGCUAAAAACGCGGUGCAAGAAUUUCCAUUUCACAUAAUCCAUAUAAUUCUCAGGUACUUGCUUAGGAAUGAAGAAAUUCCUAACAGCCAAACUAGAAACCCGAAGCAAAUUACGAAACCCAUCUUCAAAAUCAAGAGAAAACGACGUCACACCACCAUCAACACUCACCAACGUCAAAUUACUACCAUCCCACAUAUACCUGGAGACUCGACCGGACUGCCUAAGUACCACCGGUAGACGCGCCGGCAAGAUAGGUAGUUGUUUAGGUCCCUCAUUUAGACCUUCUUCGGGCCCAUAAUUAAUGGAGGUUCUAAGUGAACAGGUAAGGGUUAUGGUUUUCGGUGACAAUAAUUUGAGCUUCCUCGAAAUAGGUUUCCUGGAUACAAGAUGAAAUUCUUGGGAUUUCCAUGGGAAAUGGCAUUGGCGAGAAUUGGUAGGUGAAUAUAAAGUGGAUUGCAUGAAAAAUAUUACAACUUUGAAAGUACCAGAGUAUUUCUUAACUUUUUCGCGCCAAUAUUGGUUUCUAGCUUCAAAAAUUGUGAGCUUCAAGGAUUAGAAGGAUGUUAAUGUUCGUAAUACGCACAUCGGUACAAGAUAGAGAAGAGUGGGUGGUGGCGGAGGAAGGGAAUUGAAGAGAGAAGAUAACAUAAAAGGUGAGUUGUGUGCGGCAGCGAGGCGAGCUGCACCCUCAGCCUUUGAAAGUGCAGAAGAACGUUUCCCCCUGUUCUCUUUUUCCACUUUAUAAGACAAUGGUCGAUGUCGUUUUGUGCUAUUAGUUCGUUAAGAUAGGUCGUUUUGAGUACAAAAGUUGUGCGUCCAGUUCAUGUAUAUUUUUCUUAUAAGGCCUUGAGAAAAUAUAGAUUAAUAAAUCUGAUCAGUUACAAGUACUUAAGAAUAUAGUUAGAGCAAUUUACAAAGCUUCCGUCUUCUAUAGAUCAUAAUAAGCUACUUGAAAGAUAAUACGUAGUGGAAAAACUCAAAAAUUUAUCCUUGUUACUACUAAUCUGUGAUGCAGAAAGGAACUAUCUAACUGCCUCUAUAUCAUCAUCUUCAACCCCGAGGUUGUUCGAGUCCUUCGCUUCCUGCUCUAUAGCUUUCACAACUUCAAAGAAGCGGCGUCUGGAUGUUGGCAGCCUUGACAAUGUCAAACAAAAGCCUUGCAACCUGAUUUUAACAUGUAAAGAUUAGUUUUCAUGCAUAAACCAGAAUUAACAAACAAAAUCACAUAGGACAGAAAUGAAAACAUUAGCAGUACCUUCUACUCAUACCCUCCAACUGAGCUCUUUUAAUCUUAUCUUGUGGGGGGAUGCCACCGUUUAGCCAAGAUUCAGUUCUUGCUGCAUCACCACCAUAGAGGCAGUGCUUAUAAAAAUACAACUCCUCGGUUUUGUUUAAAUUUAGACUUUUGAUCUGUUCUUUCAUGAUACACAUUGGCUCAUAAAGCCAAUCAAAAACUCGGCCUUCUGGUCUAUUCAGAUUUGUUAUCUCAACGUUAUCACCUGGACAAAUGAUCAGAGUUGAACUUUAAUAUUAUUUCAUGCCAGAUCAUGAAUGGAUAGAGAGGUUUGCAUUUUGUAGACAUAAUUAAUUUAUAGAUAUCACCUUUUGGGAACCCAGUACUAAAACAAUGCAGAGAAACUGAAGAACAAGAAUGAAAUUAGGAAUAGAAUAUUGAUUUUUUGGGAUCAUAAAUCCAAGAAUUUUCUCUUAAACAUUUGUAUAAAAUGGACAGUCAUCACAUUAGCACAUCACAAGUACAAAUGGAGUUCUUACGAAGGAUAAAGCCGCUGGAACUACUCUUAAUGGAGUGGAGGAAGCACUCAAGAAAUGCAUAUGCAGGAAUUCCAAUGUUGAUGAUACUCGAUUUUGAGUUUCGCCAGGCAUCCAGAUCUGAAAUUCCUAUAGCUUCAUCUCUAAGAAGCUGUUUCCCUAUAUCUUCAAAUGAUUUAAAGAAGCUAUCCCAUAUCUGGUAAACGUAAUAUAGACAGAAACAACUAAUUAAGCAACAUGAAAACAAACGAAAAAAGAAGGUUUGAAGUAACAUAGAGAGAGGAAGGAGAAGGGAACGAGAAAAAUAUGCAAAAAGAAAAGUAUCUUAAGAUACAAAUAGCACCUAUUGUGUUAUCUCUCAUUCCCUCUCUUUUUUGCACAAGAACAUGAAUACAAUGUCAAAUCGACAAAAUUAAGAAGCACAAUGCAAAAUGUCUUAAAAUGAAAUCUUCAAUGCUAAUUUUUGUAGACUAAAAUCAUCCACAUUCUUACCACUGCAGUCUUCAGUGUAUUAACUCUGUCAGCAGGAGCCCUUAUAAACGGUUCGCCAACACGAGCACCAUCAAGCUGUUCCUGAAGUCUCGUCACUGGAAGUGGAAGCAGUGAAGAGAUGGAAGUAACACGCUCACGAUAUUUGGGUCUGAUUGCCAAUAAAAGCAGAAGCAAUCAAACAGUUUACUCUAAGCCUGUGAAAUGAAAAAUAAUAAAAUCCAUUCCUAUAUUAGUAUUUCAACAGCUGCAUGUAUACCUGGGGAAGCAGGAACCUUCUUUCAGGUAAAGCAAAUCAUUGGUGUACUCAUCAAAUACAGACACAGAAGCGAUCACAUAAAGCAAUCCCCUCUUAGUAGAUGUUUCCUAAAAUGAACAAAAGUAAAAUUCUAUAAGAAACACACUGCAAUAAUCAUACAUGCAGGAGGAAUUCAAUGAAAUUUCAAAAAGAAAAGACAGCAAGUAUAAUGUGCGAGCAAGAUGUACCUGAUAUGCAAUAAUUGCAGCAUAGCAGCCAAAACCAAAACUUGACAAUAUGCCUGCCAAAGUUGCCAGCAGAACCACAAUAGGCCAGAACAGAAUCCAAAAACCAGCAAAGGGAACACAAACGGUUUCAAAAAAUGGCCCUGCCCUCCCAAUAAGAUCUUGUAUCAACCGAUGCCAUCCUUUGAGCAGUAAUAUAGGCGCUUUGAACAAAACUAUUAAAGUAAUAAUAGGCACAUCAACCAAAAUCCCUGAAAUUGCUGCCACAAUGCACCCAGGUAUCUGAGUAACCCUAUCAAAAUACCAGGAAAGAGUGAAUUCAUUGUUCCAUCAAAGUAUGUAAGCUAAAUAUUUUUCUAGAAUAUCAAAUACAAGAUGCAUGAAACUGAAAGAUUAAUACUUCAGUUCAAUGGGUUCCUCCUCCUUUGACUUGAGCAGCUCAUCCAUAACAGAAAAGUACGAAUGAAACGAAAAAUCAGCAAAAUCACGAACAACGGUGCAGGCUCCCCAAACACAAGUCCAAGUACCAUCCUGUGAAGGUAAUAAUAGAACCAGUGACCCACAUUGCAUACUCAAAUUCAAACAAUUAUUGGAAUAUCGAAGUAGAAAAGGCUAUAAGAACAUUACUGUAAAGCAGCUAAACAACUUCAUGUGAAUUGGACCUUCCUUGCUGAUAGCCCUAAAUGUCUCCAUUAUAGGCCAAAUGAAACCAUAUCCAGCACCCAUAAUUGCACUCCCAGCAACUCCAACAACAGUCCAUAUUGCUAUUGGUAUUGGGACCAGAAAAAUUAAGAGGCAUUUCAUAUAUGGGCCAAACUUCUUUGUUCUGUUUCGAGUUUUGAAAGAACAGAAAGAAAAAAACGGAAAAGGGUUGUUCUAGUGUCAAUGCACAAUGAAAAUAUUAAAAAAAUGACCAUAUGCUCUUCAAAAUAUCAUCAUCUUUUACUGAAAACUGAAAAGAAAGAACAAGAAAAUUACUUGAUUAAGCAGUAGAUACUCCAAACAAGAUGAAGUGGCCAUAAUACUAUAACAACAGCAGUAUCUCCAAAAGCAAUGACUAGAAACACAAAGGGACUGAAAAUGGCACCUGUUUAUAUUGUUUCAUGAUUACUGACAACUGAUAAAAGAUUAACAAUGAUUCAGAUAUAAUGAGCAGAGAAAGAAGGAAAAUGGCUACCUUUGAUCAUUCCAAGAACGAAUAGAAGCACAAAAACUGGAAGAAAGAAAAUAAAGUAACAAAAAUAGCUCAAGAGUCCCUUAGGAACUUCCAUUUUCACUUUCAAGUUUACUGCAUUUGAACAAUACAAAAAUAAAUGCAGAAUUCUCAAUUAUCUCCGAUACUGCAUUUGUUUAGGCUCUUGAUUUGGUUGGAGAGAAUGGGAAGCAAAUAAAAGUGAAAAAAAAAAAGGAUUUUAUCAAAACCAAGCCUAAUGGUGUGAACCAACUAAACCAAUAAUUUUUUGAUGCUAUCUUCCUUGCCUUUUCUUAGCAAACAAAAGGAAGCAUAAUGGAAGAGCAGAUGUCACAUGCCUACACUGUAAGCCUUUUUUUUUUUUUUUUUCUCUCCUGAUUUCUCAAUCUUUAUCAGUACGGAGAAAGACACAGAAAGCCGAAGCAAAGACCAUGAAGCCAAGCCUUACUAUAAAGAAAGAGAACUCAGUCAAAGAUUGAUUAUUGCUGCACCCGGUUCUGAAAAAGCUAGAUUUCACGAAGGCAAACCAUAGAAUCUCUACUCUGUAGCAUGCAAGAGUAAGACAGAUAACAGUCCCACGUCAUUAAGGACAACAUAGAAGUGGAGGGUCACUUUUCUGAAAUGCUCCCUAGUUCCCACGUUGGAAAAAAAAGAAAAUAAAAUACUAAACCGGUCAAACCCAAAUAAAGGAUGCUAUGGCAUCUGUGGAAAGAAAAAUUUAUUGGUACGUAUGCAAGUUCCAGUCAAACAUCCCGCUUUCAGGCGACUGGAGUUAAAAAUUCAGUAUUAGUGUUUGACACACAGGUCAAAGUUGGAAUCUUCAUAUGAGAAGAUUUUGAAAGUAAGACAUUCUUAUUGGAAUUGAAAACAAUUUAAAAUUUAAGUAAACAGUUAACAGAAAGGUUAAGGAUAAUCCAGGUCUUUAACGUGAUACGUUUUCCGUUUACUUUCAUGUAUAUUGAUUUUACUUUAGGCAACCAAAUAUGCUAAAAUUUGCCCCAUCUAUCUAUGAGCUAGCAGCAAUUCCUGAAAUGUGGAUAAUGAACCGUCGGCUAGAUGAAUGAAACCAUGGCUAUUAAGAAACAUAAAUUAACUUAAGAGUAGGAGAUGGAAUUCUAGUAAUUUCCUUAGUAAUUAAAGAUUAUUCUUGAAACACCAGUUCAACAAAGAAGCUGUUCUUCCCAAUAUAGAACGUGCCCUGAUGAUAUAAAUAAGUUACAUUCAAAUUCAAACAAAGGGAGCUUACAUAAGAUAGGAUUAUAAACUUCAUCAAAAACAUCAAGACGGGUAAAUAUGAUCAAAACUUGACCAGGAGAAAAUAAGUCAAACGUCUGAAAAUGAACUUCUAUUCACUGUAGCUUCAAAGAUACAGAAAGGAGCCCGUAACAAGACCAAAAUCACACUUCCCAGGCAAAAGAAUACGAGUCUUUUGCCAUCCUUACUGAUGAUCAACGUCGGACCAGCUCUGAUGCCUUCUUGGUCUGGGAGUCACCUGCUUUUUAUCAAUUACCACCUGUAUUAGAUUGCAUAAGUUAUUUUCUGUGGGCAUCAACUCAAAAAUUAUCUUGUCCCCCAUUGCCACAUUGUGCUUCCUGUGAAAAUCAAGCCAUCCGUCAUUAAUUGUGAUUCGGCCAUCCUUCUUGUAAUUGACUUUCACAGGCCAUAACUUCCCCCUCUCAUCACGAAGAUUUGUAUUUUCCUGCAGUUUAAUUUUGUGUACUUUCAAAACUAACCUGUGAACAUACUGCAACCAGGAACAGUUUCAUAAGAAAUACGCUAUGCGGCAGGAAAAAAAAGGUUCUUCAUGUCAUGGGACUAAAUUUAAAAUAGCUAAGACAAAUAAUGGAGAAAGAUCAUGCAAUGGCAUCAAUGAAGAAAGACAACCUACCAAAUGAAAAUGAGGUGAAUAGGUAAAUUGCAGCAUAUAAUACAAGAAAAACUUACCACUUGAUAUAAUGCGGUUCGAGUCAUAAGUACCACAAAGUAUGGAUUUUUUGGUUUAACAAAGGCCGGUGCUUUAUCCAUUUUGCAUUCUUGAUCUGGAUAUUUUGUUACAGUAGAAUGUCUCGAUUUGAAUUGAUUUCCUCCAGAUGAACAUGUAGCUCGUCUCCAUUUGGAAACACUUCCUCCAGAUCGCCCUGUAAACAUAAAAAAUUCUAAAACAGUGUAGAAAGACAAUAAAAGAAAAGAAGCAAUGCUGCAAUAUUUUGAUAUAUAAACCGUUAACAACAGUAACUGACUGAUCUUCGAGUUCUUUCAGCUGCCAUUUCUGAAAACUUCCGCUUGCAAUCACUAGUAGACUGAGUUCUAUUUUUCUCUUCUUCUAUUUCUGUUUCUGUUUCCUCCUUCACAUGAGUGCUAAACACUUUAUUAUCCUUAGGUUUUCUCUUUUUCAAUCCAUUUCUACCAAAUACUUUGACAUAAAAUUCAGAAUUCCCAUUGUACUUGAAAAGAAGGAAGUCUGCAUCAACUAAAGAGUGAUGAUGUACAAAUUCUUGCCAACCUUUUCCAAUAAUCAAUCCUGUUUCAGUCUUUUGUAAAUGGACAUCCCAAAUCUUUCCAGUAUAAUCUUUAAGAGUAGCAUUUUGGGAUAUAGUUUGAUUCACUCGCAUAACAAAAGCUGGAGGUAAGCUCUGAAACAUUGAAAUACUUGAAAUAUAUAAGGAUUGAAUAAUAAAGCAACAAAAUCUUUAAUUCAAAUUAUACUGAAGCAAAAAACUUUGUCAACAUAGAGUACUACACAAGUAAAACCAAUAUCCAAAUUAUACAUAAAGCCCAAACUAAUUUCAAUGUCAUGGACUUGAAGCUCAGUUCCAUUGAGUUAUGACAAAUCUAACAAAUCAUCAAUCUCCUAAGUAAUAAACCCACGUGACAAGACCCCACCAGAAUCCAUAUUUCUAUAAUGAAAAAUUAUUCAACCCCCCCUAUUUCUAGGAAAGGCUAAACUAAGGUAGAGGACAUAUGAUGGAUUCUUGAAAUAACUAAACUAACAAUCAAUCACAAAAUAGGGUUACACCACCCUUUUCCCAAGAGCUAAAACUAAAUAUUCCUUGUAGAACCACAAUCACCCUUCCCCUAUGAACACACACACCUCCAAAAAAAAUAAAUAAAUAAAAAAUACAACAGACAGGAAAAAGAAGGAUAAUUUUUUCACCGUGAAAUCAGGGGUGGAGUUUUCUCCUCCAAAAUCCGAAGGUUCAUUAAGGGCUAAAGUCGCAAAAAUCAAAUGAUCUCUUUGUCCAAUUCUGGUACCUAAGAUUAUAAGUGGAAUUGGAGAGUGAUCGACGUUUUGAUCCAAAACCAAGUAACAAGUGGGAAUAUAUAUGACACAAAAAUGUAAAACUUAAUAUAAUUGGAUAAAGGUACAUAUGUUUUUGUUGUUUGUCAAAAAUUAAAGUGUGCACAUACAUAAACCGAAAACAAAAGAAGAGAAAGAAAGAAAGAAGAGAGAGAAAGAACCAGUUUGCAGGAGCUGGAACUGGAGAGGAAAACUUUGAAGAACUCAAUGGAAGAAGGGAGCUUUCUGCUAGCUUUCACCAUAUUUUUCAAAACCCUAAAAUGUUUCUCCAAUUCAAAGAAAUCGAGUAGUAUUUAUGCAAAAUUGGACUGGGAAACAGAUUGAUUUACCUCGAAAAGGUCAUGAAAGAAGAGUUAUUGUCCAUUAAUUCAGAUGAAAUUCGUCAACUUGGCGUGAGUAUGAAAGUUAUAACUUACAAGUCAACCAGCUGUACAUGGCAACGAGUUUCUAUGCAAUGUACGUUACGUCUACGAGAUUACGAGAUAAAAGCACAUUCUCAGCACUCUAUACAUGGAGCUGACAGUGAAUAGAAAACUUGAUGCUCCUAAAUUGAUUACAUUACUGUAUAUUAUCAAAUUAAGGUUUAUUAUGUUUAAUAAUAAAAAAUCAUUUCAUAGAUUAUUUAAAGUCCAAUAAAAACUAAUUUUCCAAUAAAUUAUAAAUAAAAAAAUUAUAAUAUGUAUAUAUAUAUAUAUAUAUAUAUAUGUUGUAUAAUUACCUCUUAAUUAAAAGGAUAAAUUAAUUACCUAAUAUGUAACCGCAGACAGGCAUUAAUUUAUAUUAUUUCCAAAUAUUUUGUUGAGAGGAAAGACCUCAGAUCAUUUUAAUUAAUUAUUAAUUAAUGAAUGAAUGAAUGAAAUAUAACUAACAUGAUUCAAAUUUAGAACAAAACGACAUAGAAUCACUUUUAAUUAAUUAGCAAUUUGAACUCCUUAUUCCUCUACCUUUUCCAGAUUAAUUAGAUCAAUAAAAGUCCAAAGAUAGUACUAUUUUACUGAUAAUAACAUAAUUAGUGACUAUCUAAGACAAAUACAGUUUAAAAAAAAAAUUAAUUUUCACUUAUAGAAGUUGACACUCUCAGCACAAAGUUGCUCCUAUCAAUUAGUUUAAAUCUGCAAACAUCUCCCUCUUGCAGAGAAUUUUCCCUUGCAUAUGAUGCUGUCUGCAGAAAGUAAAAUCUGAAGAUCAUACAGCAAUAGUAAGCACAAAACAGCAUUGAGAAAUCUUCUGUAUACACAAGUACUUACUAAGUUUCAACAAAAUUUUAUGUUCAGUCAAAAUUAAACAGGAUUGAAAAUUGAAAAUUGAAAAAUGGUAUUUCAUUACGUUACAAACUUCAGAGAAUGUAAGUGCCCUCAUGCUCCAAUUCCUGGUCUUCACCUGCAUUACAUGAUUAACACAAGGAUAUAAAUUUAUCCCAUUUCCUAUUAGUAAGUUAAAGAUAACCGAAUAUGGAAAGUUUCUUCCUUGAUGGUAGAAUAAGAUUCAGUUUGAUUUUUGUUUCUAAACAUGGAAAGAACUAUAACAGAUUAGCAUUCCUAGAGAUAAAUCAUCACAUUCAACUUCAGAAGCUCUAAAAAUUAGUAACUUCAAAUAUAAUCUUUUUUCCUUUGAUCCAUUCAAAGACACAAAUAUCACCAUUUUCCAAGUAAUUGUCUAGUGCAUAAUUUUUCCAGCCAGCAGACAGUUUUCUUCUUCCUCGACCUUCCUUAAUGUAAGUAACUGUCUAAGUUUUUCCAUUCAAAACUCGGAGGGUCAGAUUACCUCCAUCUUAAUUGAAAUAUUUCUUGGAAAACCUUGUAGGCAUGUUCUGCACAUAGAAUUUAACAAACAUACAAAUGCAGGAGAGAUUUUCAAGUGAAGAUUCUUUCUUUUUUCGACUAAAUUGCAUUGACUACAAAUUUUUUGAAAUUACCAAUUUAUAAUAAUCAGGAGGGAGAUAUGAUGACCGCAUAGGGAUAAAAAAAAUAAGGAUUUUUGGAAUUGAAAUUUCUAGCUCUUUUAAGAGGAUAAGCAUUGCCAUGUACUUUCAAUGGUUUCACACUCUCAUCAACCUUUAUUUGCUGGCAUUUCUUCCCAGAACAAAUAACCCCAUCACCUGGACAUACAAUUCAAAUAAAGUGGUCAAGUUACAAUCAGCAAAAUCUUUUGAACAGUAUAAAUCAUAUAAUUUCUUGAUUUGAUUCAAAAAUUAGGGAUUAAUGACAGAAAAAGUCCAAAUCUUUUCAAGAAAUUAUCGUUAUUACCCAAAUCUCCCGAAAGAGCUUACAAGAUUAGAUCAAAAGUUAAAUAUAUAGACAGAAAAUUAUGGAAAUUAUACAUAUAUCAUCAAAUUUUUGUCUGGAACGGCCUAAAGUGGCCUUUCUUUCAGAUUUCUCUUUCCUUACUUGAGGUUUGUUUUGUGGGAUCACGUUCAGUGGUUUUGAUGGUCUUUGAGAAUUUCCAAUUACAUCAAUUUUCAUCCUCUUACGAGGUGGAGAACAAGAUGAUUGUGAUUUUCCUCUCUUUGUGGGUUUAGGAGAAUUGACAUCAAUGCUUCAAUAGGGACAUCUUCAGUGGGUUCCUUAAAUUUGAAGUCUUGAUUAGGCCCUAUAUGAUGGGUUAUACAAAGUGAAUAAUCAAUUUCUGUAGCAGUUUUGUCAAAUAUGACUAUAGAAAACUGUGAAUUCCCCUUGGACUCAAAAAGCAUUAAGUGCCCAUGUCUCAUAGAGUACCCUUCAGCAAAUUCCGGCCAACCAUGUUGCAAGCAAAUAUCAUCACGAUCCUUAAAUAAUUCUACUUGCCACGAGGCACCAUCUGCAGGAACCCUAAGAAUUGCUGUGCUUGAUAGUUCACUUCCAUAUUUUUCUCACAAAAGCCAGAGGGAUCUUCCAUUAAAAAAAAAAAAAAAAGUAAGGAAAAAAAUAAUUUAAGAACAUGUACACACGUAAUAAGAAGAACAGAACAAGAUAUACACAUAUAUUGGCCUCAGUUAUUGAUCAAAGCCAAGAUACGAGGAACACUUGGAGUACCCAAUUGACCAUAAAUAGCAAAAGAAAAAUUAAGCUUAAAUAGCUUCAUAGAGAUGCAGGAAGCAGAAUGGUGUCUCUAUUUAACAUAAAUCCCAAAGAGAAAAAAGAAAAGUACAAACUUUCCUAAACAACACUGAUACCCACACAGUAUAUACAAGAACAAGCUACAAACUUUUUCCUUAACAAUAAACUCCUAUAAACCCAUUUCUUGAGUAAAAAAAUCCCAAGAAAGAAAGAAAAGAGAAAUACUUACAAGUUUUUUUAUCACUGAGAGCUUGUUCAAGAGCUAUCUUUAAAAAAUGAACUGACUUUAUUGUAAACAAAGAAUGCUUGUGUCUCUGGACAAGAAGCCGUUGUAGGGGCUUUUGUCUUCUAUAAGUUUCAAGUUCUAUCUUAACGAGUGUCUAGCCACUAUGUUCUAAGGAUGGGAGCUUCGAGUGCAGAGUGGUUCUAGUUUUCACACACUUCCUGACUGAUAUAGGUACCAUAACCAGAGUGCAGAUUUCUGUUGCUUGCUAAAGUUGAAAUGGGAAGGGGAUGCUACCCUCACUGGUUUGUUCUCUCGUUCUGUCACCACCAAUUUCUUUUUUCCUGUAAAUAAAGAAUUAAGAACUAAAAGACCAAAAAAUAUUGUAUUAUUAUUAAUUCAAUUUCAAAACUGAGAAGCAUCUUUCGCUUUUUGGUGAUUGGCAAACGGGAAACUAAAAAACUGAGAAAAAAAAAAUCUGUUGAAGAGGAUUUUUUUUUUUUUUUUUCUCGUCAGACGAAAUUUUAUCCUUAUUAAGUGGAUUUUUCCUUGGAUUUUCUUUUGCUUAUUGUUUUUUUAAUUUCAGUACUCAGCGAAAUAACCUCCCCUUUGGGGACAUUGGCACUCCAAAGGCAAUGUUGUUGGCACUCCAAAGGCAAUGUUGUUUUGAGUUGAAGCUCCAUAUUAAAAAAGAUUUUGUGGUUUUAAUCCUAUAAAAAGAACUCUUAAAGCAAUUUUAGGUUCACCUUUUCCUUUUUAGUACCCUGUGUUCUACGAUUCCUUAUUAAUUCAAAAUAAAUGAGUCUAUUCAAAAGGACCAAAAGCAAUCUAGCUAAUAUGUGUUCAACUACAAUGAAAAAACCAGAAGUAAUAGCAGAUGACCAGCUGUUUAAUCGCUACAUCUGAAAAUGCAUACAUUCAGGACCCUACUCUCAAUCAGCUCAAACACACAAACAUCUCCUUUCUUCAAAGAAUUUCCCCUUUCAAAUGCAGUCCAACCAGCACCAAACUUGGUUAAUCUCUUAUCAUAAUAAUUUAACAAUCUCAUAUGCCAACAUCUAUCAGCAACUCUUAGUGUCAAAUCCUCCACUUUAUGCCAAAAAUGCUCACGACUGAAGCUAUUUGGUAUAACCUGCACAGCAUUGUAUUUUAAAGCUUAAUGCAAUAUAUAUUCCUAUACACUAUCAACAUCAAAGCAAAACAUUAGAAAUUUAUCUGUUUUAAUUUAAAGUGAAUGUGUUCAAAAUGUACCACAGUACAACGCCUCAAACAUUCUACAUUCACAACAGACUUGAAGGAUGGAUACUUCGAAAUGUACUUAUUUGCAGCUUCGUGAGCUUUGGAAGUACGUGGGCAUGAACCCCUUAUCGCCUUCAGAAAAGAAUUCUCUUUGGACAACCCUUUGUUGAAAUUUCCUACAUGAAUUCAAUUAAAAAAAGUAUGAAAAUUGUUUCUUGUCAUAAAUUUCUUUGGUCAAAGGUUUGAUUCUCUGAUUGCAAAAUGAUUUUCACUAUAACUACUAUGGGGCUUGAAUUUAUUUUCGAGUUAAGAGCUGACAUAUAAGGACAUCAUAAAAAUUAUGAAAUAGGUUUAAGACAUACCUCCAAAAUCUCUCAUGGAAGAAUAUGGAUUCCCAAUUGUGCUACCACUAGAUGGGGAAUCAUGAUUGCUAACUGCAGUAUCUGUUGUCUUAUUAGCUGCAACAGUUCUCAUCUUCUUAGGAGACAGAGGACAUGGACGUAGUGUUUCCCCCCCUCUUUUCAAGUUUGACGAGGGAUAAUUCAAUAUCUCAACAGAGCUGUUAUCUUCAUUUUCUUCCACCUUAGGCUCUUUGAGUUCUUCAUCGAGAUUCCGGUCUGCAGUACAGAUCCUCGCGCAUGGGUACUCUAUCUCUGUUGCACUCUUAUCAAAUAUGAUUACAUAGAAAUGACAAGGUUGCUCAUAUUUAAAAACUAAUAAGUGUCCACAUUGUAAAGAAUGAUAUUCUGCAAAUUCUUGCCAACCCUUUUCUAACCAAACUUCAUCAUCACAAUUCAACAGUUCUACUUGCCACGUAGCUCCACUGGGGACCUUAAGUGUCACUGGACUUGAUAGACCAUUACCAUACUUCCUCAAAAAUUUCUCUGGGAUUUCCUAUUUACCAAGAUUAAUGUAUUCACAAAAUUCAUUAGAAUAUACAGAAAAUGAAAUGCAUACCUGCAUAUACAAGCCAAAACAUCUGCACACACUCAAAAUUGUGAUUUUGCAAUCAUAAACUUGAAAUGCUUUUGAGCCUGUUAUUUUAUAUUGGCUAUUUGGCAAGCAACACAGCACAUCUUAACUGCAAUGGAUUAGUCAUUUGAGAUUUUAGGAGUACAUUUAAAGGUUAGCGUCUCUGUCCUCAAAUAUUAUCAACAUUAAAGUCACUACUACCAUCCCUCUUUGGUCUAGUACAUGUUUAUAAAUCAAUAAAAUUUCUUAAAACAACUAGAAAUUUAUUAAAUGAACUCCUGGCCGUAUUAUAUUUAUGCAACAUCAUGGAUAAGUCACAUAUGCCUCUUUUUCACUAGCACAAAAUCUAUUCAGUGGAAAAAAAAAAGUCAAAAUAUUUUAUAUUUACAAAUAAAAAUAAUAUUUAACUAAUUAUGGGCAGCUCAAAAUCGUAUUUCAAGUAACCCUUAUGGAAGUAUCGAUCAUAACCAAAUUGAAGCAAUUUAUUGACAUAAGUAACACCUAUGGAAGUAUCUCCCAAUUUGCAACCAUUCUAAAGAUGUCUCUGCAAGAAAUAAGCUUAACUGGUUCACCCUAUCUGCUGAAGAAAGCAUAACCUUUGUGUUUACUUUAGAACCCAAAUAGCAAUCCAAAGAAAUUGAAUCAUAAAAGUUUUUAUAUUUAUAAUUAUUUAAUAAAAACGAGUCUGUUUACCUACAGUUUAUGUUGGACCAAAGGUAAAGGUAAAGGUACCAAGAAACCCUCGACAAGAAUGCCGUGAAAGAACACAAACAUGAGAAAUAACUUAAUAUUUUGAAGAUUAAAGAGAAAAUCAAGAAAGUAACCAAAGAAACAGAAAAGCUUACAAGUCUUCCAUGGCGGAUAACAUCACCAAGAAGUAUCUUGAGAAAGUGUGGUGAAUUUUCCAUAAUAAUGUUUCUUCAAGAUCCCUAAGUGGGCUCGAGAAACUAUCGCUAGGCUACUUCGAUAGUAUGACUGUAUGCGAGCUACUUUACUUAUUGGCUGGCAGUUUGUCUUAACAGUAACAGAGAAAGAGCAUGGCAGAGCCAAUUCUCCACGUGGCAGAGCAGUUUGACCUCACUGGUUUUGCUAAGGAAACCAAGACCGGUUCUAAAGCAGGAUAGAACCUUGCAAUUGCUCUUCGGCGCUUCUUAAAACGAUUUUGGAAGCACUGAUUUUAAAUAUUUUAACUAAUUAGAAGACUAAUAUUUUUAUAAGGAAAUAUAAUUAUUUAGUACAUGGGAUUUUAUAAAAUUAAUUUUCUCAUUUUCAUAUUAAUAUAUUUUUAUAUAUUACGUAUUCUCGUGUUAAUAUAUUUUUAUAUAUUAAAUAUUUAAUUCUGGACGUUUGGUUCCGUCUCGUUAUCCGAAAUUCAUGUUUUUUGCCGUUAAAAGGGUAUUAAAAGACAAAAUUACCCUGGAGCAGAAAAAAAAAAAAAAAACAAAAGCACUCCUCAUUCAAAGAAAACCUUAGCACAGAUCUGAUUUAUGAAAUGUAACUUAUCAAAAUAUGCCCAAAAGAGAUUUUUCUUCAGGAAUCCAAAAGAGUUGAUUUUGCAAAUAAUCCAUAACUGAGAAUUUUCAUUUAGUUCCAAAGAUUGAAAAACAAGUAAAAUUGAGUUGAUUUUUGAAAUGUAAUUUAUUGAGUCAAACCCGUAAAAGAUUCAAAAUCAAAAUCAGAAUUUUUAGCAAGGUUUAAACCCCUAAAAAGAAUAACAAUUAGAAAUAUAAAUUCAUAAUCAUGAUAUUUAGGCAAAAGUUGCAUUAUAACCGAUAAUCAAAACAGAAAAUUGCUUUGAAAGGAAUUUAGAACUAAGAUUAACUAAAGCUAACUGAGAAUUAACAUCCAAUAGAAUUGAAAAUUCUCAAAAUGAAUAAUUGGGUCCCAAUUUACAAAAGAGUUCAGUAAUAACAUAAUAUCAAUAAAUAGCAAUAGUGAGCCACAAUAAACAACAACGAAUAACAAUGGUAGCAAAAUUUUAUGAACCAGCUGUAAAUAAAAAAAAAAAAAAACAAAUUGCAAGUGCCAGAAAUUACAAAAAAAGUGAGCAAAAUUACCAACAAAAAAAACCCAAAAAGAAAUUAGAAAGAAAACUCACCUGAAGAAUGAAAAUAGGAGAAGAAUGAGAGAGAGAAAACAAGACAAUCGCAAUAGAGAGAGGAAAAGUGACAAUCGCUACUGUGAAGCCAAAUAAGUUCCUUCUAUGAUUUUCGGCAAGAACUUGGUCGGCCAAAGUGGAUUAGGUGAAGCAUGUCACUGGUUUGAAAGAGAAAUCGAAAAAGGAAAGGGUUCGAAAUUCUAAAGACAAUCGUUUUAGUAAUCAACGAGUCGGCAGGUCCUACCGUCGGUGUUUGCUAGUUGAUUGGCCGGAAUUUGAUAGAGAAGGUGGCCGUUGUUAGGAGUCUAGGAGGAGCGAUUCCAUACCGCAAAUGAAGUAACUUGGUUUAAGUAAUAUCUAAAUAUUUUUUCCUUUUUUUUCUUUUUCAUUAAGGGCAUCUUUGUCAUUAAAAAAUUAUCUUUUGUCCUUUAUUUUGUCUUUUUGCGCUCUUUUAACGGCAAAAACAGUGGAUUUUGGAGAGACGUUUUGAUGAGACGGACUAAUAUACUAAAAUAUAAGGAUAAGAAAAUCAAUUUUAUAAAAUUUUAGGGAUUAAAUAAUUAUUUUUUCUUUUUAUAAUUUAUUAUUAUAUAUUAUUGAACUAAAAAAAAGCUGAAUUCUUAAAGAUUUUAUUGGAAUAUAGAAUAUUUACCUCAUGCUUAAUAGCAUAAUUAAGAAAACAUUAUUAAUAUUAGCUUCUAAGAUUUUUUAGAAAUAUAGACAGUUUAUAAUAUUAUAUAAUAAAUUAAAAAUUAAUAAAGAGUUAUGUAUUAUAAAGAUCAAGAACAAUUGCAUACAAUAAGUACAGAUAAGUUAAAAAAAAAAAAAGUUAAUAAUAAAUGGUUGUUUACAAUGUUUCUGAUAUGGGGGAAUGGUUUCUGUCAUUACGGCGGAGAGGUGAUCGGAAGCAGGUUGAAGUGGCGGUGAUGAUUGCUUGGGAGAUUUAGAACUCUAGAAACCGUGUUGUUUGGCUGCAGAAGGUAGGCAAUCCAUGCCAAAUAAUAUGUACAGCAAAUCAGUUCUUGGGAGAGUGGCAGGCCGCUCAAGUGGACUCAGUCUCUAACACAAUCCCAGCUGGUGUUGUGGCGAGAUGGCAUCCGCUUCAUGGUGGUUUGAAAUGUAAUGUAGAUGCAGCAUAUAAUGAGACAACUGGAAUAGCAGGAAUUGGUAUGGUGUUGCGUGAUUAGAAUGGACAAAUAUGGUUGGAAGGUGUUUGUCUUUGGGUAGGGUGCAGAAUGCUUUGUUAGCAGAAACAAUGGGAAUGCGUGAGGCAUCAAGUUGGUUGAAGGAGAAUACAUUAACUCACAGUUAAUAGUUGAAAUAGAUUGUUUGAUGGUAAAGCUAUCAUUGGACAGUACUGUGCUGCUUAAUUUCUUAUUUUGCCCUUUCUAACAAUGAUUGUAAGUCACUUGCUACUGAAUUUACAUUAUUGUCGUUUUCUCUUGUUAAAAAAUAAGGAUCCAAAGUCUGCCCAUGAGUUACAAGUAAGCUCGAGCCACUGCUUUUAUGUCUGGUUUGAUGAAAUAGGAUGAUGUGCCUCAAUCUUUUAUUCAUGAUGUACUGCUUUCUGAUAGUAAUAAUAUCUGAGCAGCAGUAUUUUGUUAAUAAAUAAAUGGUUAUUUAAAGAAAUUUUAUUUAUUUCCUUCACUGUUGAUUUCUGUAAAUUCAUUUGUUACUGUAUCUUUCCCAUACGGUUAUGCUUCAAGUUCAGCAACUCCAUUCUUAACAUGCCAAUGACUUGGGAUAGAGAAAUUACAUAACUAGUUACAUUAACACCUAUCGAUCCAGUCAAAAGGACAAAAGACACUGCUCAAUGUAUGUGUCCAGCCAUUACAAAAUCCUUCCAAAAACACCAACAAGCAGAAGUGAUAGUAUCAAUCACUUGACACAUCUGAAAAUGGAAACUUUCAGCAGUUUCUUCUCAAUUAGCUCGAAUAUGCAAACAUCUCCAUCUCCCAGCAAAUUUUCCUUUAUAAAUACAGGCCAACCAAAAGUAAUUCUACCUGGCUUCCCUGGCGCUCUUUUGACAAACUUCACAGUCCACGAUCUAUCAGAAACCUGAAGCGUCAGACUGACUUGCUGACCUUGAACAUAACUCCGACUGAAGCUAAUCGGCACACCUGGAUGAAGUUAAAUGGAAUACUAUCAUUAUGAGAGGAUAAAAAAAAAAAGAAGAAGAAAGAUAUAGAAUCAUGGAUAUAUAAUUCAGGUCAAAAACUAACAUGAGAGUUAAAUUUUUUAAAGAGAAAAGGAAACUUUGAAAGAUAUAGAAUUAUAGGUAUAGUAUGAUUCACAAUAUAUAAUUGAGGUCAAAAGCUAACAUGUUUUCUUCAUUGACAAACUCAAAGAAAAAUAAGAAACUUUUUUAAGGCACUUAUGAAAGUAUGCUUUUAUGUAUAAAGUAAAAUAUACUGAUAGCCUACAAAUAGAAGGGCAACGGGUAUUCACAACAGCCUUGAAGAAUGGAUUUUCAGAGACGAAGUUGUUCACAGCUUCAAGAGCUGAUGAAGUACUCGAACACGAACGCCUUUUAGCCUGUUGAUCUUGCUUGAGAUCCCCUAAAUUAAAUGAAUAAAUAAAGGUAAGAAUCGGACAAUUAGUAUUAUUUUCCAAAACCAGCUAUGCAAUGUUUAAGAUAGCACAUUCAGCUUUAAAUUUCCUUUGUGAAAGUCAAGGUUCUUGGGUUUUAAAUUGGUAAGGACUAAAAUACAACAAAUAAUCAAUACAACUAUCAGAACAGCAUGAAAAUUUUGAAAUGAGAUUGUAUUGGUUCAGAAUAAAUAAUCAAAACAUACCAUGGCCAUGAGCACUAGUACAUGUAGGCAAGUUGCCAGACAAUGAAAUGUUUGGUGUUUUACUGGUUGAAUCAAUUCGUAUCUUCUUCAGAGACUGAUCAUCCAAUGCUUCAACAGAAAUGUUCUCUUCAUUUGCUUGUGCCUUUGCCUCUUGGAAGUCCCAAUCAUGCUUUGGCUCUGCAGCACAAACUCUAUCAUAUGGAUAUUGUAUCUCCACAGCACUCUUAUCUAAUAUCACUACUUGGAAAUUGGAUUGUCCCAUAUAUUGGAAAACUAAUAGAUAUCCAUAUUCUAAGGAGUAGUAUUUUGCAAAUUCUCCCCAACCCUUUUCAAACCAAACCUCAUCAUCGCCCUUUAACAAUUCUACUUUCCACACGGCACCACAAGGAACCUUAAGAAUUGCAGGACUAGUCAAAUCAUUUCCAUACUUUCUUAUGAACUUCUUGGGAAUACCCUGAUUAAAAUGACAAUGAAGUUAUCCACAAAAUGCAGUAAAAGAUAUGAAAGUCACUGCUGCAAGCAAGCAAGGGUGUACGAACAAAAAAUAUGUCACUUUUUCUGAUCAGGAGCACUUCUUUCAUGCAAUGGAAUGAUAUUGUUAUUCUGAUCCCAUUUAGGUUAUUAAAGAUUAGCAUAUACAUAAUGAUUUCUGAUUUGAGCAGUAUAUUUUAAUUCGAUCUUGGGCAAACAUAAUGGGUAGACCUCAUGAGCACCCUUUAUCUACCAAAUCAUCACAACUACAAAUUACUUCAAAUACAACAAUGCUCAAAAUCUUUACUGACUUCUUUAAGUGUCAACAAAUGUAAGAAUAUUUGCAGUUAUCCACCAAGUAUAUUGGCUUUUCUAGACUACAUUGAAGCAAGGGAUUUAUGAAUCAUGAUAACAAUUUCAUGAUAGUGGCAUUAAGUAUAAAGUUCCAUGCCUAAUACAUGUAAUUGAUGAAAGAAUUAGGCUCUGUGAAAGUUGCAAUCACAAUUAAGAAACAAAAUUUUAAGUGCUUAAUUGACCCUAACAACCAUUGUUAUACAUUCUGCUAACAACGAUUAGUUACAAAAGAAAAAAACUAUCAUUUAGUCAUAUAGACUUCUAAGAACUUUGGUAAAGUUAAAGAUUGGAAUACAAAGCAAUCAAAGCAAUUUUGUAAUUUUCAAAGCAAAAUAAAAAUAUAUGAAUAUUGCAAACAUAAUAAGGGAGAAAUAUAUAGGAGUUUUAUCAUUUUUUCUUCAAUCUCCAACCUUAUUAUUUGAUUAAAAUAAUUAACUUCUUGUUGAUUUUAGUGACUAGAAACAACAAAAUCUAAUUUUCCCCACUUGAUUCCAUUGAGCUCAGAAAAAUACAAGAUUCCCCUGUUUAAUAUUAUUUUGUUUCGUAACUUUGCGCACAAGAUUCUAAAACUGAAGCAAAGCUAAAACUUCACAUCAUUAAUUAAUAAAAUAAAAUAAAAUAUAUUAAAAUUGAAAAAAAAAAUUAACAUCAAGGGUUUUUUUUAAUAUAUAUUAGCUGCAAAAAGAGCAAAUGCCCCCUCUUUCCGUCCACUCUUCCCGAAGUGAGCGAAUUGCAUUCUUCUGGUCGUGGUUCUUGCAGCUACCAUGAAAGUUCAAAUAAGCUUGGAAGCGCAGUUGGUGGCACUCGAAGACAACCCAUAAAGAAUUUGGAUUUUCUCAAAAAGCAAUAUUCUUGUUUAGGAUCCAACAGGAUUCCAAAGAAAUUGACAUUCAGAAAUACAAAUUUGAACAUAUUUGACCAAUCUUUGUCCAGUCAAACGUGAAGCAAGCAAGAAAACAUGGAAAAAUAUGCAUAAAAACUACCAUGUUAAUGUUACAAGUAACCAAGAAGAAGAAGAAGAAGAAGAAGAAGAAGAAGAAGAAGAAGAAUCAAAAGAAACAAGAAUGCUUACAAGCUUUCCCUCCCGUAUAGCAUUAUCAUGAACUAUCUUAAAGAAAUGUUCCCUCUUAUCCAUAGUCACUACUCUUUCAAUUGCUUCCUUCAAGCUUUCUUUUUUUCUGGGUUUUUGCUGGAAAAACCUUCGAUAGUCCUGGUUGCUCCUUCAGCUGUAGUUGCCGCGUUCGUACAUAUCGCAGUAGUCUUGCUAAAACCCUGAAAAGGUAGGGCUUAGCCCCUCUAAAGUCUAGAAUAGAUUGUUUUACACGCUAAGCCAAGCUAACUCCUUCUAUAGUUAUAUCCUUUGGUCUCAGUCCGAGAAUAUAAAGGCUACCUUUUGGUUUCGGUGGGAGAAUAUAAAAACUCGGAUUUUUAUUAACUAUUUACUACUAAGUAUACGUGAUUUAGUAAAAUUAACUAUUUAAUCCCUAUUUUGGAAAAAUAUAUAAAUGUCUUUAUGUGAUUUGUUUCUUUGCACUAAUAAGUCUUUUUAGCUAAAAUUUAAUAUUUUUUACCGUUAACCUUUUAUAAGUUUUUCUGUUGUAUAUUUCCCAUGCUAAAAGCAAAACUUUUUUUAAAAAAAAUAAAAUUGAAAGAGAAUAGAAUGCUAAUAGUUUCAAAGUUAUUGAAAAAAAUUGUGACUGUUUUUACUAAUAUGUAUAUAUAUAUAUAUAUAUAUAUAUAUAUAUAUAUAUAUAUAUGGAGGGCUUUUCAUUUUUUUUUCAUCAAAAAUUAAUGACAAAAUAUAAAAUGUGGGCGAAAGUAUUAACGUUUAAAUAUUUUAAAUUAUAUAUAUCCAUUUGUUUAUUUUUCAAAAAUAUGUGUUAAAUAGUUAAUUCAUCAAACUAAAACAGCUGAACAAUAAUUAUUUUAUAUAUUUAAUUUUUCAAAAUCUACGAACAAAAAUAGGAAAAAAAAAGAAAAGAAAUUUAAAUUUUCACUUUGCAAUAACUAAAAUUUCUCAUUCGUUGUUACUGUUUUGGAUAAAAUUCAAAAGCGGACAAAAAAAAAAAAGUUAAUGCUAAGCAACAGUCAAAUAAAUAAAAAAAAUACUAAUGAUUUCAAAUUACAAAUCAAUAAGAAAAUUAUAAAAUAGCAAGCGCUUCUCAACUCGCAGAAGUGAGAAAGAACAGGCUGGAGAGAAAGGGACAAUCUCGAGGACUGUAAUUCUAUUUUUCUAUUUUCAAGUACAUUUCAGCUCCAUACUUAUAUAUAUGCCUGAGACUUCAACAGAAACAUCGUUCUCAGUUUCUCUCUUGGAGGCUCAUGAUUUCACUCCACAGCGCAGAUACUGUCAUGGACACGUUAUCUCUGAAGCACUCUUAUCAAAUAUGACGCCACAGAAAUGGCCAUCACCUUCAUAUUUAGAAACUAAUUAGACUUGAGUUUGAACAAAUCUAACCCAUCAAGAACACGGCUUUCUGAAACUAAUUAAGUAAUAGAUUGAUUAUAUGAAUGGCACUUGUAAACUAGCAAGAAGGUUUCAUUAACUGAUGGUUUAUAUCAGUUCAGAUUUAACUGAUGACAGUGACUUAGCUGGUCCAGUUCUAACACCUCUGACUCCUUCUUUAUGAAUCUCAACUUCAAUUAGAUUACCCUUUUCUGCUAUGAAGUGAAAUACACAGGUGUCUCCUGUAGCUAGCUCAUUAGCUCCAUAGAACUGACUCCAACCCAAACCGAAGCGCACCUGGCAUCCUCUUUGAACCACUAGUAUGUUCACUUUAACUGGCCAUGACCUUCCUUUUGGAUCCUUCAUUACAAUUUCCUCCUUGCUAACAAGCUUUGUCUUGUUUGCAAAAUCUUUAGGCAUCACCUAGCAAAUAAAUAAACAAAGAUUUUUUUUUUUUUUUGUUUUUUUUGAACUAAGUAGAGACAGAAUAUAAAGGUCAGAUGAAUAUGAAAAAGUUACCAAAUUGUAUUUUUGGUACUUCUUCAACACUGCUACAAAAUAUGGAUUCUUCCGCUUCAAAGAUCUUAUUGUUUCAGUUACUUUGUCUUUGUCUAAGAAUGAAACCAAAAGAGUUUAUUUCAAGAAUUAUAUACUUUAAACUCCAAGAAAAACAGAAAAUAAUUAAUCAUUGAUUAAUUACCAGCUGUUCUUGCAGAAGCUUGAGGCGUCUUGAACCUACAGGGAAGAGGGCUGCCACGUCUUUUGAAACCUUGUUUCUUGAUCUUGAUUUCUUCUUCUGCAGAAGAAGCAGAGGAUUGUGAACUAUCAUUGACCCUUUCAUUAUCAGAAGCUACUUUCACAUCCUUCUCGCAGCCAGUUCUACCAUAAAUUACGACUUGAAAAGUUAUCUCAUCAACAAGAUUGAAAACAAGAAAAUCGCUCGUUUCUAAACCUUGAUUUUUCACGAAUGUAUUCCAUCCACGCUUGAAAAAGUAGCUAUCGCCUUCGUUAACGAUCGUUACCUCACAAGAUUUUCCUUCGUUUGGCUUUAAAGUUGGUGCCUUGGGCAUGAUUUUCUUGAAUUUUUUCACAAAAGCUGGUGGAAUUUUCUGCCAAACAUAAGAAGUUAAUUCGAUGCAGUAACUAAUAUAACAAAAAAAAAAAAAAAAGGAAGCAAAACCCAGAUCAUUUUUUCAACAAUGUAAAGAAAACUUACAAGUUUCUCCAUGAAAUCACUAAGCAAAACCUUGAAGAAAGUAGGAACUUGCUUUGGCUUCCUAGCCAUUUUUCUUUUAAUGAAAACAAUUGGCUAACAAGUUGUUGUAAGUUGAUGCACAAUAUUCUUGGAUUCUGCUUCUUAUAGCCUUAAAGAUUUUGCUUCUAUUGUUUUGAAAAUAAAGAUGGCAAUUGACAUGUGAAAAGGCUGGUUCAAAUCUUGAACUAUAAAAAGAACUAGCUAGUACUAGAGCCACGCAGUAAAUCAUGGAAAAAAGUAAACGAUGUAGAAACAAAUAUAGUUAAAGGGACAAAUAGUUAAUGGACUGAUGGAAAAUUGCCCCACUUCUCUGUAUGGCAACUUCGCCCGUGGAAAGCACGAUGGGCAUUGACUGGACAGCAGCAAGGUCAGAUAUUAUUUCUCUUUUUUUUCUAUUUUGGACUAGCAAAUUUAAGCUAAUGUAAGUAGUUGCUGCUGACAUUAAUGGUGGUAUGGAAUCCAUUAUCAAUCAUUCAAACUUACUGUAUGAGUUUUUUCUUUUACUGUAUGACUUCCUGUAUUAUUGUAAUUUCUCAAGUUAAGGAAGGAUUUCGUUGUGAUUGAAUUCCUCAAUUAUAAUGUUGUAAUUUUCGUGUCUCUGCAUUGCACUGCUUUACUGGAGAAAGUAAAAAAAAAAAAGUAAUUUGAAACUUUUGCUCAGCCACUUCAAAACUACGAGAUGGAGGGAGUAAUAAAAUAAAGAUAAAGAUAAUUUUUUUAAAAUGGCAUCAGUUAUUGGGUUGGUGACUUCACUUCAAAACUACGAGAUGGAGGGAGUAAUAAAAUAAAGAUAAAGAUAAUUUUUUUAAAAUGGCAUCAGUUAUUGGGUUGGUGACUUAUACUAGGUAAGCAAUUUCCCAUAGGUGGGAACAGUAAAACUCUGUCCACUGCCCUCUGCUUAAACCCCAGAAAAUUCCUCCGGACACGUCCAACAAAACCCCAGUUAAACCCCAAAAUCAUGCGCCACCUUCUAACGGCCGUCCGGCGUCGCCACCCUUUUAUCGGCACAUUCCUCCUUGUACGCCAAUAUAAACCGUCAAAACAACCGACCCCAUCCGCCCCACCAAAACCUCCAAAACCGCCGCAGAAACCUAAAUCCUUCACAUUCCAUGACGCCACAUGGGAGGACCCAUACAGCUGGAUAUCAAACUUGAAUGACAAGGUGGCGAUGCGCCACAUGGACGUGUACAUGGAGCAAGAGGAGAAGUAUACAGAGGCCGUAAUGUCUGAUACUGAGAAGCUACAAAGUAAGCUCCAGUCUGAAAUGGCCUCCAGGAUGCAAUUUCACCUCUCCACCCCUCCCAUUCGCUGGGGCCCAUGGUAAGUGUCGCCAAAGUACGUAACUUUGUUUGGCUGUUGACAAUAGAAAAAAGGAACGAUCUUUUUCGUUGUUUUUUUAAUUAUUUCAAGGUGGAUUUAGGUUUUUCCUCGCCUCAGGUUAUACUAUCGAAGAGUUGAAGAAGGAAAGCAGUAUCCUGUGCUAUGUCGGAGAUUGUUAAGCUUAAAUGAGGAAUUCAUUUCUAAUAAAUCUCCUUUUGGUGGAUUUGAUUUUACUUCUGGGAAAAGAAUUGAGCAGAAGCUGCUUGAUUACAAUCAAGAAGCAGAGAGAUUUGGAGGUAUUGAGAAAAAAAAAAAGAACGAUGUUAACUUUUCUUUUUCCAAUUUUUGAGGUUGUUUUGUUGAUUUGAAAUUGAACAUUUUUUUGUAUAGGCUAUGCUUAUGAAGAAUUAUCAGAAGUGUCACCUGAUCAUCGGUUUCUUGCAUAUACUAUGUAUGACAAGGACAAUGACUGGUUUAGGUUAUCUGUUAGGAAUCUCAAUUCUUGUGCACUGUGUAGUAAGCCUCAAGCAGAUAGGGUUUCGAAUUUGGCUUGGGCCAAGGAUGGCCAGGCAUUGAUUUAUGUUGUUACUGAUCAGUAUAAAAGGCCUUGCCGGUUAGUAUUAUAUUGAUGUUGUAACAUUUCAAUGUGCUUUAUCUUGUUGUAAUGUGUUUUCAUGUAUUUAACAAAAUUGAGUUGAAGUUCUUUUCUUUUUUUCCACCAGGAUAUAUUGUAGCAUGAUUGGAUCGACUGAUGAAGAUGUUUUGCUUUUAGAUGAACCCAACGAUGAUGUUUUCGUUAACAUAAGAAACACAAAGGACUUUCAGUUUAUAACUGUCAAUACCUUUUCUACCACAUCUUCAAAGGUAUCAUUUCCAGAAUACUUUGUGGUGCACAUUUAAUACUGAAAUUGAUCUUUAGCUAAAAUGGUAUAACAAUCAUGACAAUGUUUUAGGUCUUUCUGAUAAAUGCAGCUGAUCCUUUGUCCGGUAUGACAUUAGUGUGGGAGUGUGAAGGUCAGGCCCACUGUAUAAUUGAACAUCAUCAGGGGUAUCUUUAUUUAUUUACUGAUGCUGCAAAGGAGGGCCAGUUGGUUGAUCAUCACUAUCUUCUGUGUAGUCCUGUCAGCAGUUCUUCCAGUUCAAGAAUAUGGGAGGUAGGUAUCCAACCCAAAUCUCUCUACAUGCAUGUGCAAUUAUACCUUUCUGUGGUUCUCUUCCAACGAACCUCUUUCAGUUCAUUAUAUUUUGGCACUAUCUGUCUGCUGCAUUCUCCUCUCUACCUUCCAUUUCCACUAAUUUCUAGAUGCAACAUUAUUUCUUUUGCAACUUUCUUUAGUUAGUAAUGGGCACAUGGUUAAUCAGCCCUUAUAUCUUCAUGAAUCCACUAUCAUUUAUUGCAGAGUGUAUUCAAUGAUGACCAAGAUUUGAUUGUUGAGGAUGUUGAUUUCUGUGAUACACACUUGGUACUAAUCAUGAGGGAAGGUUGGAACUUUAGGCUUUGUUCAGUUCCUCUGCCUUUGCCUGCUGGGAAGGUGAGAAAACAAACAUCAUCAUCUCGGCAAAUCCAUGAAGUUAACUAAUGGUGGCCAACAGUUUCAUUUGAGUAUGUUCAUAUCAUACUCUUGUGUUUUUCUCAUCUGCGCUUCUCUUGUUGUUGCAGAAAGGUUUUAAUCUGGAACAGCUUAGUCCCAGAUUCCUUCCUCUUCCAAGAUAUGUUUCUCAAAUUUCACCAGGACCAAAUUAUGACUACCAUUCAUCAAUGAUGCGCUUUACAAUAUCAUCACCUGUGGUACAAGUCAUUUUGGCCCUAACUUCAGUAAAUGUUUUCUUUUAGCAACUUAUAUAAUUCUAGUUUGCUGUAUUGCUCAAGAAUUUUUACAUGGAUCCUGCUCUAGAUAAUAGUUGCAAGAUAUGAAUGGAAAUGGGUUAAGUGAGUUACUUUUUCCUGUAUUACAAAACACUCUACCUUUUCCUUUUCAGGUUGUAUUUUUAGACCUCGGUCUGCUAGGAUAUUAUUGUCAAAUAAAUAGAUUUUAUUUUUGUUCUAUUGUUGCCCUCAGCUGAUCAACUCAAUUCAUGUGGUUCAGAGGCUAAGGUUUAGAGUCCAAAGUUCUUUUUGUAUAUUGUGUGUCUUGGCUCUUCACUGCAAGCAUUAGGGCCAGUUCUUUUGUCAUGUGACCAGAUAUUCAAUUACAUAAGGAAAAACAUUUAGUAAUUUUUCUCACUUAUUUGACUUAUCAUGUGUUUGUCUAUGUGUGUAUGUGUAUUAUUGCAUGGGUGCUUUUUCCUCUAUAUUUUUGGUAAAAGUGUGCUUUUCUGGUUGAAUCGUGACCCCCAAAUUUCAUACAGAUGCCAGAUGCUGUUGUUGAUUAUGACCUAUCAAAUGGGAAAUGGAACAUCAUUCAACAACAAAAUAUGCUUUACGAAAGAACAAGAAUUCUGUAUGGUGCAGCCUCUUCUGUGAACAUCACAGAUAGCCCCUUGAAGGGUCAAAACUAUGGCUCUUCCAAUGAAGUGAAAUCUCAAGAUGAUAACUUGUGGCAUGACCUCUCUGAGUUUUAUGCAUGUGAACAUCAUAACGUUUCUUCAUAUGAUGGGGUUUUGGUUCCUCUAACUGUUGUAUACUCACACAAAAAUAAAUAUGGAAAUCAAAAUCCUGGGUUACUUCACGGGCAUGGAGCUUAUGGUGAGUUACUCGAUAAACGAUGGCGUGGUGAGUUGAAAAGCCUUCUUGAUCGUGGUUGGGUUAUUGCAUAUGCCGAUGUCAGGUUUGUUUCAACUAUACCACUACCAUCUGACUUUGUUUUUUUUUUUUUUGGCCACAGCUUGCUGUGUGUAUGCAGUUGUUUGAUUCAUCUUAUAAAAUGAUUUCUUUUGCUCACUCUAUUUAAAAAUUUGAAUUUCUAUAGGGUAUUUGUGUGUUUACAACUUAACAAAACUGAAUUUAUUUGUAUUUUUGCAGAGGAGGAGGUGGUCAGGGUAAGAAGUGGCAUCAUGAUGGCAGACGCAGGAAUAAACUUAAUUCCAUCAAAGAUUAUAUAUCCUGUGCCAAAUUCCUAACUGAAAAUAAAAUUGUGGAAGAAAAAAAGCUUGCUGGAUGGGGAUAUAGUGCUGGAGGACUUUUGGUUGCUGCAGCCAUCAAUUGUUGCCCGGAUUCAUUUCGUGCUGCAGUUUUGAAGGUAUAUAUUAAUCUCAUAAUCUCAUAAUCUGUAUGUCUUUUUUGGUGUUUCUCAUUUUUCUUUUUAAUACCCUGAUCAUGUAAGUGUUCACUGCUUUUACUUGUCUUAGUUUCUCAAAAUUUUAAAUGAAGCAAACAGUAAGAUGGAGGUUGUCAUUUUUUUAAUAAUUAAAAUAAAAUAUAUAUUCUCGAUAUACUCAUUUCUAUGUCUGUCCAUAUUCUUUAUCUUUUCCAGGUCCCUUUUCUAGAUCCAACCAACACUCUUCUCUAUCCCAUUUUACCGCUUACAGCAGCUGAUUUCGGAGAGUUUGGAUACCCUGGGGAUAUUGAUGAUUUUCAUGCGAUACUGGAAUAUUCUCCCUAUGACAAUAUUCAGAAGGAUGCUGUUUAUCCUGCUAUAUUGAUAACCUCAUCUUUUAACACACGGUAAUUUGCUAGCACACUUUACUGGCUAUGCCUAUAAUUUGUACAAACACAGCUGAUCAUGAGUGAAUGCAAACUAGUUGGAUGGUGUUAAAUUAAAUCACAAACGACUUUUAGUAGACAUUUUCUAAAACCUAAGGAUAAUGGAAAUGCAUGGGUCAACAUAUUAGAGAGUAUUUGUAAUUUUGAAUAGUGGUUAUGAAGUGUCAAAUUGGUAGAACCUGAAAUUGAGGCAGCGAGUCUAUAUUGUAUAUUGGAAACUUAUUAACUGUUCUUUUGUGUUCUUUUAUUCUAUUAUUUAACUUGACAUGCUUUUUGCUUGAUGAUGAUGAUGAUAGCAUUUUUUUUUUUUUGGACGAGUCAUAUGCUUAUGAAUUUUGUGUUUGAUGUAUUUCAGAUUUGGGGUUUGGGAAGCCGCAAAAUGGGUUGCCCGAGUUCGUGAACACACUAUUUAUGAAACCAACCGUCCAGUACUCCUUAAUUUAACAACAGAAAUUGUGGAGGAAAACAGAUAUUUGCAUUGCAAGGAGUCAGCAAUGGAAACUGCAUUUCUUAUCAAGAUGAUCGAAUCAUGAGUUUGAUUUUAUUACAUUGCGCUCCAUAAUCCGUCCUUGAAUCUGUUUUUUGAUCUUUUAUGACAAGUAGCAGAAAAGGCUGUCUUCAAGAUCUGAUGCACCUUGGUUGCCAAGCAGGUUUUUCCCACUUAAAACAUUACUUGGUGGUUAUAGCAUUUCAUGAAUUAUGAAAUCUGCUUGAUGAGGACAUAUCGCUGAUCUGUCCCAUUUAGCUGGUUCAACUUGCCAAAGCAGCCAAUAGAAUUAGGACAGAAAAACUUUACACUGUUCACCAAAUGUUGGUUAUUUGUUGCUUUGCCAUAUUGAUAUUGCAAGUUAAUUAUUGUAUAUACAUAUGUCUAUCUGAUAUGCUCAUUAUAAAAUUUUGAAAUGGAAGAAAACCUUUUGAUAAUAGCUUUUAAAAUUUGGGAAGCUUCAUAAUGCAUUUUUGCUCUUCUUUUGUUUUUGUGAGUACCAUUUCCUUAAUCUUGUGGAUUAGGACAUGCCAAAUCUUAGAAAUCUAAUAGUUAAUUAUCCAAUUAGGCUUCAAAAUCUCUCAUCGGUUGAAAUAAGUCAAACGUGUCCCUAUCACCAACCACCACAUAAAGUUCCUUUUAGAAGACAAUUUCCCCAUAAUGGCUCUCAAAGAAGUUUGUCAAACAUGAAACCAUUAUUAUUUCUCUUUUGUUAUCUUUUUAUAUAGUACUGUAAGAUUUUCCCAUCUGAAAUGGUGGAGUAUUUUUGUAGUGAGGGGUAGGGGAUCUCUUGUUUUGUAUCCUUUCAAGGAAAAGCAGGUUUUGAUCAUCAUUAUUUGGCUUUAAAAAGAAAUUUGCGUUGCCAUGUCCAACCCAACUUUAUGAAAAGGAAGCACUCAAGCUCUCAUGGAUUAUGGUAUAGAUACAUAUACAUCCAUGAAUAUUUUUCAUGGGAAACAAAACUCAAUGGGUAUGGCCCAAUUAUAGUAAUUGCUCUGAGAAAAGAUACCCUCAAUGCCUUUGGAUUAAGCCUAAUAUUGAUGAUGAGAAUUUGCAUUAUACUAAAGGAAUAUAUCUAUUUUCUGUUUACAUCAAAUCACUGUUCAUUGCGCAUGAUUUCUCUCCCUUACGCUUUGCUUUUCAUAUUUUAGAGGGAAAGUAGCUUAUACUUUUCUUGAAUUGAGAUUUGUCACAAACAGAAAAUUGGGUGUCUUCAUGGCAAGAAAAUGACACCAAUUUUGGUUGAGGAUUUCAAAUUUGCUUCUUGGCCUAAGAUAUCAAGUUGUACGAAAGAAUUAGAGAACAUUUUUUAACCAGAUUUGUGCAGUAUUAAAUCCAAAUUCAUCCAAAACAGAAAAGAGUUCCAAGUCCCUCCAAUCUAUCCAAACAUGUCCAUGUUCUGCUUUUUGUUUCCUUGUAGUUGGAGACAACCCCAUCAAAGUGAAAAGGAAAUUCUUGUACGACUAGUUGGGUUUUGUUCUAACAAGAUAAUAAUUUUUCCUCGAUUAUCCACUGAAAUUUAAAACAUAAGAGUCAAAUACUUCAGCCAUGCAAUUUCCAAUAUAAGCAAAAGCAGUGUUUCUGCCACUGAAUUGUAUUUAUAUAGACUACAACAGGCAAAAUAAGGUCAAGAUUUUUUACAGGAGCAAGAAAUUUUGAUUUUGUAUAGGCCAAAAGCAGAACGUUUUGAGUGGUGAAGUCCCAUCCAUAUAAGUCUGCUUCGAGGUCAACAUAAAUUUCCGAGAUGAUACAAAUUCUAAUGCCACCCUCUACAAUAACCCAAAGGAGAAGGGAAAAAAGGAUAAGGAAAAAAAUCAAGCAAACAAGAAUUAACAAAUUCACCCGUUGAAUCAAAGAGUCUCGAGGAAGAGCAAAAGGACCUGUGGCCAUAUCACCUUUGAGUGCUUCUCUGUAGCUUUUGAUCUUCAGCUCUGACUCUCAGAUUCGUACCCCAAUUGAUUUUCCAUGUUCACAAAAAUCCAUUUGUUUCUUCUUGGAAAUGUACUAUUGAUCGCCAUCCCAAAACUCAUGUAUCUGACCCCUCUUCAACUGUUGGAAGACUACCCUCUUUGAUAAAGGUUGGAUUGAGAAACUUGGAAACAAAAGCCCAUAAUUUGUAAACAUCUUCGAAGUUGGUAAGAAAUCCCAGAGAUGCAGUGACUACUUCCACCCUUAUGAACCCACUUUUCCCACUAUGGUGCCCAUUUUCCAUUGGCCUACAUAGAGUAGUAUCUUCAAGAUUCAUAGCACCACGCUGCUGUUUUGGGCUAUCCAGUAUUCGUAUGUGACUAAGAAAACCAAUGCCAAGGGAGAUACCUUCUCUUUCUGCCAGCUUCUGAACAACUUCAGGAUUUAUCAGUCCCCGGUUUCUAUCUCUAAUGUUAAAAGCUACAGCUGCACCCCUUUCAUAUUUUAUUUUUGGACCGUAAAUGUGAACAAGAUUUUCCGUUCUUUCCCCAUCUGAAAUGGGUAACCUUAGUUGAAGUAAUGAGGUCACAAGCCAAUUGAUCAAAAAUCGCAAUCUGAGAGUGGUUUUAUUGAGACCCAACAUAUUCACAUGAUCCAAGUGCCGACAAAUUAUCUCAGGUUCCCUCCUAUCCCACUCUUGCCCAUCACCAUAUUCGCCAUCACUGGUGUACUCUUCAUCAUCUAGGCUGGUUACAGAUACCUCUCCAGGCUCCAGAGUAUGACUUAGCUGUUCUUUACGGUUGUCCUCCAUGCUAAAGGACACUCUUCUUCCCCUGCUUGGAUGUUCAUUCUCUUCCAACCCAAAAAACCGACCACCUGCAUAUCUAUUCCCUUCCCUUCUUCCCAACAAUCUGAAUUCACCUUCUGUUUCUCUUCUUAUAGCACUCUCUUUCAUGUCUGAGCCAAUUGCAGAGGUUGAGCCAUUUGCUAGGCCAUUAUGCACAGCAGAUGAAUUAUUGAAUUGGGAUUUAUAUGUGUCAAAAUUGGACAAAGAACCGGCUGAAAGUGCAUUACUGGUUCCAGGUUCUUCCUCAAUCUCAUUAACAUGAAGACGAUUUGAAACCUUUUUACUAUUUCGUGGAGUGUGGUUUGUUUCAGUGUACUGUUCUUCUUCUGGAACCUCCUUAACUCGAUCCAAUUCCUGUGAAACAGACAUAACUGCAGCAUCAAAAGAGAGCACAUGGUGGUCAUCAUGUACCCCCUUGUCGUCAUAUAGUGGGCUGCCAUAUAUCUUUGACGUUGGUUUUGGAGAGAGUCGUUUGUGAUUCCUCUUGCCAGAAAACCAAAAAGGAGGCAGGGGAGAGGACAAUUUCUGUUUGUUUAACUGACCUGCUGCAUCUGAUCCCAAUGGACUUUGACCCAAAUCAAUCCAGAAUGAGUUGUCUGAUGAUUCAUCUUCACUAAAUACCGGGCUUUUCAUCACUUCCCCAACUGAAAUACUCUCUGUUUCUUCAAAUAUGGUGCUUGUCCCAUCCCUAUCAGAACUGUUAUCCUGUUCCAUCUCAGUCUCAAAAACAUCCCUCACCUGAGCAGAUGUGAAUGCACCAGAAAAGGCAGGCAACUGUGUCCCUGGACGAGUUUCUGUGGUUGUUUCAGCAUUCCCAACAACUUCAUCAUCUUCAAUGCAAACCAAUCUGUCUAGACCAUCAACAGAAUCACUCAAAUACAAAGGAUAUUCAGGUGUUAUCUUUACCAUUCCAGACCCUGUACUCCCAGACUGAUUUUGAAGGCUUCCCAUUACAGAUUUCUUGAUAAGAAGACAUCCAAAACCGGUUGGGUCGUGCCCAAAUACUCUGUAAAAGGAAGUAAUAAUAAAAUCAGGCCGAAACAAGGACAGCCCAAGUGAAUCCAUAUCUUUGGGACCCAAUGAGCCAGCAUCAAGCAAGACAUGCCAAUUGUUUUGCUGAGCAAGUGCCAUCCAUUGAUAUGAAUACUUUGCCCCAGUAACUCUAGACUGCACUGGAAACACGAACAAGCCCGCUGCAGAAUCCUUCUUCCGCCUCUUCUUACUUGAAAUUUGUUUUCUCAAAUCAGUAGAACAUAAUUUAAGAGUUGGCCAUUUAAACCAUGCACUAUAAACUUUUGCACCCUUUUCUUUGGCACUUUGAACCAUCCAACUCACAGACUGGCUCUCAUAAUCAAACAUUGUCAACAACUUCUUAUUAGUAUGAAAAGGGUAUGAUUCUGCCAGCAAUUUAAAUGCAGACCCUCUACUCACAGUGAAAACAAGGCCAUAUUCAUGCUCAGGGAUAUUCAAAUAAUCCAUAAUUCUGGCCUUUAUGUCAUAUUCCACAGUGCCUUUCUCAGCACCACCAUAAAGAGCAUGGUUACUCAAAUUUGCAGUUAUUUCAGAUAAGCUAAACGUAGAAGACUCCCAAUAAUGCAAAGUCUGAAGGUAUGAAAAAAGCCCAUAUCCACAAUAAUCAAGGCAUACCUUUGGAGACAAAUGUGCAUAUUCAUCCAACCUUAGCUGAUCAACCUUCUCUGAAGACUGGUACUUUGGGUACAUUGUGAGGAACUUGGAGAAUGCCUCGUGGAGUUCAGGAAUGGAUUCUUCAUUCUCAAAUAUGCGCUCUGCAGCUAAGGCUGUGGCACGCAAGAAUUCGCGCUGGGCAUUAAGUCUUGCUAAGGAUCUUGAUCUCCCAAGGCUCUCAUCUUGGUUUCCAACUGACUCGGACUCCAUAUCUCGCGAUUUGAAGAGAGACCCAUCUUCAGAUGCCUCUUCAAGAGCCUCUCUAAGCUUAUUUUCUUGCAAUUUUCGAAGAAUUGAUGGGUUUUUCCUGAUUUCAUGAUUGGAUUCAGACCCGUCUUUUUUCCUGCUCUUCUUGUCUAAGAUUAGAGCAGCACAAUGAGAUAUAGGCUUCCACAAUGAAAGAUGCAUUAAAGCUUUUGACUUUACAACCAAUCUAAGAAGAGAAUCAAAAAAUAUAAACCCAAGACUCCAGAAAAACAGUUGGGUUCAGUUGAGUUCAGGCGUUUAGCCCACAUACAAGGAACAGAGAAGGGUCCAGUUUCAAACCCUAGGUGCUAGCUAUAACAAGAAAGAAAAAGGCCCGACUCUAAAACCAGAUCAAGAGAGCUCUAAAUUAAGAUUUCUUCAACAAAGAACCUACAAAAAUGAAAAAGAAAUUUACAAAAACUCAGAACUAAAGAAGUCAGCUCAGCUUCAAAAAAUUUUCAGGUGAAAAACCCAUAGAAAUCUACAACCCAGAAUUGAAAUGACUCAAUUCAGUAAAGUCAAAAACCCAUUAGAGUGAAAAUUUAAACAAAGAAAACAAGUUUUUGAAGAGACCCAAGAAAGAUAGAGAAAGAGAAACAGAGAGUCAAACCCUAGACACCAAAACCCAGAUCCCCAAAUUUUGCAGAGAAACUCGCAUCAAGCAAGACACUAAGAAAGAAAAUUGGAUAAAAGGGUUUCACAUAACCUAGUUACUGAGUUUUGAAAGAAACCCUUUAAAUCCUUAAAUGUGAAUAGGAGUCAAGACUCCAUUAGCACACCAGAGAGAGCUCAAAAAGAAACUCUCUUUCUUUAGUUUCUCUCUCUCUUCACUGCAGCACGAAUAAAAGCAGGCAAAGGCAAAGCAAACCCCUCUCCAUAUCAAAUGCUCAUUUUACUUUGUGAAUAGUAAAUCCACAGCAAAGACAAACCAGUUUUUGAUAACCCCACUUUGCUCUCUCUCUCUCUCUCUCUCUCUCUCUCUCUCUCUCUCACUCUCAAUUGACUCUCUUUCCAGUUCCACAAUCUUCCACUAUAACCUCCCUUAACAAACAGUGAGAAGGACAUUGACUUUUGCAAACCAAAUGUAAGUCCUGUUAGUUUUUUUCUUUUCUUUUUUUUUUUUUUAACCCCUCUGCCUCUCUCUUUAAUUAAUUAAUUAAUUAAUAUUAUUAAAUUUAUAUAUUUCCAAUUAAUAUUCUAUUUUUUUAUAUAAUUUAUGUGCUGUAUGGGACCCGUCAGAACCUUUUCUACUAUUGGCCAUAGCUAAAAGUCAAAUAAUCUGCUAGCUCUCUUAAAAGCUGUUUUCUGUCCAACUUGGCACAAAUGCAGUGAAAACCACCACCAAAGUCCAAAACCUCCAACCUGAAUCUUGAUUGUUAAUCUCAUUUUUUAAGUUUAUUUAAUUUAAAAUUUGCCCAGACUAACCUGUAAAUCACAGUUACUAAACUAAUUUAUUGCUUAAAUAUUUAUUUUACAAUGUAAAUAUAAUUAAUGAAGUGAGUAUUUAUUUAAAAAUAUAAAAAAAAGUUAUUCAGGACAUAAAACAUUUUUUUAUCAUUUAAAUUAAACAGUUAUUUUUAUCCGACGCUUCUAAAAAAAAUGACAAAAAAAAUUACAGUACAAUUUAUGUGGUUUGUAAAAUACAACUAAUUUAUCUCUGUCUUUUAGAAAAUAAACUAUAUGUUCUUAUAGUUUAUUUUCGUCAGAUUACGAGGGCCUUUUAUUCAAUUUUUAUAUCUUUUCUGUUAAGUAUCUUAUGAAAUUAUCAAAAUAUCAUUUUAUUUUUAAAAUCACAAGGACAAAUCAAUUGUAUUUCUCAAACCAUAGGGACUGCACUAUAAUUUUUUUUUUGUAUAAUAUUUUAGUAUAUAUCUUUUGACCUCUUUGUUUUCUUACUGAUUUAACGAAAAAGAUGCAAAAAUUGAAUGACUUAAUAGUGCAACAGAAGCAAAAUAUAGGAACAAGUUAUUAUAUUUUAAAAAAGACAAUGAUAGACUAGUUGAAUUUCGCAAAUGACAAAAAUCAUAUUGUAAUUUUUUCCAUUUCUAAUUUAAACAUAUAUAUAAACAAUUAUCAGCUAAUCGUUACUGCAACACGUAACAGCUACUAAAAUAGUUAAUUAAUAUUAUCAAACAACACAUAACAACUACUAAAACAACUUAUAUUACUGAAUAACUACUAAAACAUAUAAUAUUAGCCAAGGGACUCUAAAACUCAAACAAGAAUCAAAUAAGACGAGAAAUUUUUGAAUAAUUUAGAAAUUAUAAGCAUGAAAUAGUGCUCUACAUGCAUUCAAGAAUGUCUAACAAUGGGAAGAUGAGUAUGAAUGUUAUAUUUCCAAUUUUAAAAUCAAGCCAUGAAUGUUAUACGUGUUUUGAGCUUUUGCCAUACUCAGACAAGGUCCAAGAAAUAUAAUUAACUUCUCAAUUUUUUAAAAAAAAAAAAAAAGAAAAAGAAAACUUGAUUGAUGAGAAGAUCAACGUGGAUUAGUAUUAUUUUAAUUUAAUAUUAAUUCACAUCUCAUGAAUCAAUUUUACGACUAUCACUAUAAAACGACAUAAUAGUCAACUUCUAGAUGUGAAUGAUUUAUUAAUUAUAGAAAAAAAAAUUCAAUAAUAUAGUGUUUUGUUCACUAUCAAUGUUUGCUUCUUUUGUUUAAUAUAUCCAAAAGAUAUUAACCUAAUAAAAUACAUAAUUCAACAACUCCCAACUGGUAUAUUCUGUUAAAUUUGCAAUUUUAUUUUUUUUUUCCAUUUAAUUUUUAAUUAUCAAGUUGAUAUCUUAGAUAUACAUCACUUUCUUUCUUUUUUUUUUAAUUUUUAUUUUCAUAAUUUAUUUGCAAUUCCCAUAAGUUAUAAAUAAAUUUAAAAGAUAAACUUAUGUCUUGGAUUAAAAAAUUCAAUGGAGUGCUGAGGCAAAGACUGAACCUGAAGGGCACAGCUAACCCCUUAGCAGUUAGCAAUAAAAAUUAUUUAAUAAAAGAAUUUUUUUUUUUUUUUUAAUAUCAAGAAUUGCUUAUAUUAAUGUUUGUGGGCAUGACAUGUGUAUUAAAGAUGUUAGGUGUUGUGGGGGCUCCUGUCCCUAAUAUGUUACAGUAUUUUAUCUGCAUUGUUGAAAACCUGUUAUAUUGGUUAACGGUUGAUAGGGUAAAAGAGUAAAUUUGAAUCAUAAAAUUUUCAAUUUUAGAAAUCCUUUUUUUUUUUUUCUAUUAAUACUUUAUAUUAUUUUUUAGAAAUUGAAAUAAAUCAAAACUGAGGAAGGGUUCCUUAGGAUUCUAAUAUUAUGAACUAGUAAAGCUCAAAACCCCAGAAAAGGCCGACUUGAUAAUUACAGUUUACUUUGUUAUUUUAGAAAAUUGACUAAACCCCACCACACUUUUUUUAAAGUUGGAUCCACAUAUCGAUGUUAAUUAAACAGUUUAGUCCUGAUUAAGUUGUUGAUUAUCCAAAUAAUUAAACAAAUAUAUAUUUUUUUUGUUUAAACCAGUUAUUUUCCAUUUUGUUCUUUCACUUUCCUAUUUGAAUUGAACCAAUUUCUUCCCUUCAAUUAUUAAGAAAAUGAAAAUUGAAUCUCAAUUUUUCCAGAUCUAUUAGUAAAAUUUUUAAUUCUAGAUCUAAGAUAGUUUAAUGAUCGGGUUCAUAAGUGUUUUUUUUUUUUUUUUUUUUUGGUAUGAUCAAAAGAUUUAAUCCCUCUCAAGCCGUAGAAUCUAAAUGUUUUUGGCACUUUUAACUAAGUAUCUCACUUUUACGCGAACUGAAGUCGCUAAUCCCUUGACUAAUAUUUAUUGGUAUAAGUGUGAUAUUUUGAUAGUGGGAUACUAAAUAAAGAACGGAUAGACUUAGAAUUAGUUGAACCGUAGUUGUUUCAAAAGACUUACAUUUUAUAGAUAUUACUGAAAAUUUAACUAUAAAUAGGGAAAAAAAUUGAUUUUAGCUAAUUUGGAAUUAAUAUUCAAUUAUUGUUGUGGAAAAAAACAAUUAUAAGAAAAUUGUCUCUCAUGCAAAUGAGAAACGAGAAAUGACAUUAAAUUGGAAAAAGAUAAAAAGAGUGCCAUAUUGACUAAAGUACAAAUUGCUUAAUCAACUAAUCAAAGAUAAUUAUAUUAAUUAAUUCAAUAGUCAAAAUUAUGACUUGAAAGAAACAAACAAAAUGUGAAGUCAAAGAGAUUCAAAAUCCAUGAAGGAGAGGAACAUAUACAAAUACAAAUACAUAUACAUAUACAUAUACAUACUUAUUCUGUCAAAUCUUUUUCUAUCUGAUAAGAGAUAUACUGUUGCUUUCUUAGCGGCCAAACAAACAGGGCACUGAGAAAUUCAUCUCUGGACCUGCUAUCAAUUAUCACAUAUGAUUGACGUGGAGAGCACGUGCAUCACUUUGGUUAGUCAACUUUGUUCCAUUGUAAAGCUGAAAUAACACUUUUUUUUUUUUUAAACAUUAACGUUGGUGGAAGAAGUCAAUUACGUAACAAUAAGAACGAUGAACUCAAUCACGUAAUAAUAAUAAUACAAAUCCGAUUUUUAGAAGUAAACUUUGUAGAAAGAUAAAAAAAUUUUUACAUUUGAAUUAAAUUACUAAUAAAUGCAUAUAUUAUUUUGUUCAAUUCUCCUCUUCCUGAAUAUUAAUAUAUAUAUAUAUGUAAAAAUAUGAAAAUUUUAAAUUUAAUAAUUUUUCUUUUUAAUUAAAGUAAUAUUUUUCAAAAUAUUAAAUGAUAAUAUUGCAUUACCAGUUUUGUAAAAGUUAAGAAUUUAACUUUUACUGUGUCCCAUUGUUUAAAAAAAUUCCCAGUGUAUUAAAGGAAAAAGGCCAGACUAACCUUGGUCAACACAUAAAAAAAGGGCAAAGCAAGUGCAAGAAUCAUUUUUAGCAUUCAAAUAUAGAACCCAAUUGUCUUGAUCGAGCAUCUUAUCGUUUUGCUCGUACACAGAUUUGGGACCGAGUCCCUAAUUGUCUUUGAAAUUUUUUCCUUGAGUAAAUAAAUAUUUUUUUACUCUUUCAAAAAAAAAAAAUAUAUAUAUAGAACCCAAUUGAUAACAAAGCUCAAAUCACAAGGCAAAGGAGUAGCAGCUAAGUGGUAAAGGGCUUCUUUAACAAGAAGACAAAAGAAGAAAUGGCUUCUACUUCUGCAUUGUCUCCCACUUUGCAUGUCAAUCAAAUGAUCAAAUGUAAAAUAAAAAAAAAAAAAAAAAAAAAAAAAAAUUAAGUAGCAGAAAGACUGGAAGACAAGACUAGCUUUGGCAAAGGUAAGUUUACCAGGAACUGCCUCAUUUGAAUUGAAAAUAAUGAGUAGCAGAAAAUGAUUUGAUUGUCCUUUUCUUUUGUUAUCGUUAUUUUAUUAUGUCAUUUCCUUUAUUCUUGAUUCUUCUUGUUGCUUUAUUAAUUUUUCUUCCCCAAGUUUCACUAGAAAGUGUGCAGGUGACUUUCCAUUCUGAAAUGGGAGCUACAAUUUUUGGCAUUUUAUGGGAAGAUGCCUUCAAUGGCCAUUUACCAAAAAAUGUCAUUAUUAAACAUACCUUGACAAAGAAAUCAAACCCACUCUUUUAAUUAAGUCCAUGUAUGCAUAGUUUAGCGACACCAAGCUUCAAUGAUCAGAAUUUUUGCACCAAUGCAUGAAAGUGCUAUUAUUAUUCUGAUAUUAUGGAGUCCCAUUCUCCACAAAACAGAUUUGAUUGAUUAAUAGUGUGUAGGGCCAUUUAAGGGUGUUGGUGGGCUAUUUAUGUGUAAUGGGCUCAGUUUUGGGUUUGUACUAUAGUAUCUAUUAUUAGGAUUUUCAGUUGGCAGAUAAGGUCAUUUAAGUAAAUAAUUACCCAUAGCAUAUGUUAUUGGUUCAAAUCGUUAUCCCCUCAUUAAUUAACUUGAAGAUCACCAAGACUAAGAUCCUGAAGUCUUUAAUUCACACAGAAGGUACCUAAACAUGAAGGGAUUUCUCGCUACUUGAGAGCAUUCAAGGAAUGCUAAUUUGCCAAAAUGCAGCCUAAUAAAACAAGGCCUGAAACCAAAAUCUAGUGUAGUGUCUAAAAAAGUUCCCAACUCAGCCUACCUGACACACAAAAUACAGAAACAAAAGAGCCCUUCAUCUUCCUUUUGGUAUCCCUGCUUGGCCUUCAAUCUUCUAGCAAACUGUCUUCAGUUCAUGUUGACUUCUGCUUCCGUCAUUGAGGAGAGAGAUACUGUUAAAAAGCUUGCACUAUAUCUGAAUAUUUUGCACAUUUGCCAUUGAUAAUUCACCAUCAUAGCCUUUGUUCACUCUACGCCUCUGUCUUAGUCUUCCACCAAUACUGUCCAAAUUUGGUUCAGUAGCUGCAGUCUUCUUCUUAAGCUUUGCACAACUCUCCACUUUAGAAGUACUAUCAGCAAUUUUGCCAUCCCCAACAUGCAUUUCCUUCUCUUUCUUCACCUCCUGAUUAGAGAGCAGAUAGUUGUUUAUAGACUGCUUGACAUCAGAAUUUUUCUCAUUUAUACCACUUAAUUCUGAAUCAAGAUGGUCAUUGGUUUUCAACUGUCCCAGCCUCAAGCUCUCAAGGAUAGUAUCAUGCUCUGUAGAUUGCAAUUGCAUUGCUUCCUCACUUUUAAGCUCAUUCUCUCUUUUUCCUUCAAAUAUAGGCAUUGACAAUCCAAAAUCGACAUAAACUUCCUCAUUGGUCUUUGUAGAUACCAUCUUCUCAGGCACUGCUUCACCAUCCGGAACAAGGAGAUUUCCACUGUAGGACGGUUGCUCUCUUUUCUCAAUCUUUAAACCACUUUCUCUCUCAUCUCUAAACAUAGAUUCUGGUAAUCCAGGAUGAUAAUGCUCCUCAUUAUUGACCUCUACAGAUUCCAUAUUGUCAUACCGUUCUUCACUGCCUGAAAAGGGUAAUGACCUCUUUGUUUGACAGUUGCUGGCCAGAAUUUUGCUAUUCGGCUCAGUCGUAGUCUUUAACUCAUCAUGAAUUGUCUCUUCAUAUUCAGGCAUUAAUGGCCUAAUUUCUUCAUUGGUAAUCUUUGAUGGCUUUUCCAUCUCUGAAAAGGGCAGAUACCUUUUCACUGAAACUUGAUUGGCAGUCACCAAUUCUUUUUCUACUGUAUUUUGUGAGCGUCGGGUUUGGAUCAGAUAGUGUGCAACUGACUUGUAACCCAAUCGUGAUAUCUACAAGAUAAACAAAAUGCUAAACUCAAUUUAUCUCCUGAAAAGUUGAGCCAGCUCUUCUUUUAGCAAAGAGUUUACCUUCUUGUAAAGAGGUCCGGUAGGAGCCCAUCCUUUUGCUUGCCGGCAAAAACUGCAGUUGCAAAUUCCACGACAGGGGGGACAUAUCCAAUUUGGAUUUUCUAUUGCUUCCAGUACAUGUUCUCCAUAUCUGCUUUCUCAUAAAACAAAAGGCUUUAAAACAUUAGAUUAUUUUAAAAUUACAGUUAAAAAAGCUCAUGAAAGUAUCAAAAUGCAAAGCAGAUAAAAGCAAAUGGAGAAUCUUUCAAACAAUUAUACCUCAUGUACAAACAAUCUCCACAAAACUGUCCUUGGACCAUCUUGCAUUUGCUGCAGUGGGUACGAUAACCAAGAGUUUUCUGCCUGUUAAAGACCCUUUCCUUCAGUUAAUGAUAGACACAGAUACCAUGAAGAGCACGACUUAAGAAGCCAAAUGCAUAUAACAUAACAGCUAUAUAAUAAAGAAAAAGAAAGAGACUGAGGAAACUUCGUUCUGAAUAUGUAUCUGUGUAAUGCAUUUUCAAGGUAUUAUGUCUAGCUGAUUGUUGUCCUAUAUUAAAACUACCCGCCUCUGUUGCUAUCACAUGACCUCCAAUUCACCGAACUAUCAUUAUUUCUUCAUUCAACUGUGAUAACACAGUUGCUGGUCCAAACUUCAAAACUACUUCCACAGCCUUGCCAGGGCUGCUAAGCUAAGCCAUUACCAACUUGGUCACCACUCUGCGUUACAAAUCGUCUGCCUCAUUCAAUCCGGAUAACACAUAUCAGCUCCAAAACCACAACUACAUACUGAUAGAAUGAGGCACCUGCUAACAGCAUCUAAUUUCUCCAUUAUGUUCCACCUUCAUCAAUUCUCUUACAUUUAUAAGCAACUCAGUUAGUUACACGGAUCAUGGACAAGCAUGCACAUUUAAGUUUUUCAAAUGCAAAGCAUUUUUAUGCUAUGAGAAUAUAACAAUAACAACUAAGCCUUAGUCCUAACUAGUUGGGGUCAGCUAUAUGAAUACUUUGUUUCAAAAUAUCAGCUUUGAUCAAAUGAAUAUCAAAUUAUGCUAUGAGAAUACAACUUCUAAAACAUAUUACAGGCAAAUGGCAUGAAAAAUUCUUGUUAGCAACUUCUAGAUAUAGCAGUUCUAGUGACAAUACUUUGGCAAAGGCCGACAGACUACACAACAGGCGUUACGCAUGCUUAUGCAAACUAAGAGGAUGUCAAUCAUAACCAGCAAUUUUACACCAUGAUCAAGUCAUGCACGCAUUGUGGUAUUUCCUUGUUAAAUUAAUAUUUUUUUUAUCACAGACCCUCAAAUAAUAAUCUUUUAUUGAAACCUCAAAUAAUAAUCUUAGAACUCAAUAAUCAAGAUCAUUAUCAUACCUACGAGGUUAAAAAGUGGACUCACCUGCAUUGAUGGCAAGUCUUUCCCUUAACCUGAUCAUAAAUCCGUUUUCCAUCUUUUCCAUACCCAUCUACAAAAAAUGUCCAGCUCCUGUCAGUACUUCCCAAAAGCUUCUCAUGCUCUUCUGUGUAAACCUCUGGCUUUGAACCCACCUCUAGCCUCACAUCUUCAUCUUCCAAUAAACCAUCCUUCUUUGCUAACACCGCUUCCGAGUAGCUAACAGGAGUAGCAUUGUGCAACCUAAAAAACCCCGCAAAGAAAUUUAAAACGAGAACACUCAAAUAUUAAUCAGUCAACAAAACUGAAUAUAAAUAAAUAAAAUUGUCUAGAUAAUAAAAUUAAAAAGACAUUAGGCGUAUAAAAGAAAACCCAGUCCAUUAAAGAUAAAAAGAAGCAAAUCAAUUGAUCAAUCAAGAUUGGUAUACAGAGAUUAUGACAUUACCUAGAGGAGCGGCGAAGAGGUCCAGGUGACUUAAGAGGAGAGGGACGUUUUGCUGGUGACGGGUUAUUUCUUUGGGUGCGUUUAGGAGCUGCAGAAGAGUUGAGCUUUUGAGAUAGGUCAAAGAGACCAAGUUUCUGCAUUCUUUCAAAGUUUGAUUUGAUUCUCUCUUCUCUUGAUUUCUCAUACAGUGACAUUUUUGGGGUUUGAUCAUCGUUGAUUUCUGGAGUAGGAUUUCCGUUGCAUUCUUCUGCAGAUUGUGAUUUUCUGGUUCCCAUAGUUGGCAAUCUCUGAGUUCUGUCUUUUUCUGUAUGAAGACGGUAAGCUUCACUUCACUCUCUCAACGGUCGACUUUUGAGGUUAACAUGGCAAGUGGGAGAGGGAAAAGGAAAGUUGGGCUGCGGACUUUCUAAAUGACAUUGAGGCCCUUCUACCAGUUACAAAAAUUGAUGAGCAUGUCGUUUCGUCCAAUGACCGCCUGAAAAAUUCUUUUCAAAAGCGUACUGGGCCUUACCGUCCAUAUAUGGGCCUUAGCCCAAUAUGAAUAUUUCAAGUUGACGCCUUCCUCACGACCUAACCCCAAGGAUCUUCCUCCCCAGAACAUUCUCAAUUCAAUUUUUUUUUUAUUUUUUAUAAUUUCCGUAUGCGUCACAUUUAUUAAAUUAGUUCAAUCUCUUUGAACUAGAAGAGAACCAUUUUGCGUAUAGAAAAAGCAAAAUCAUAACCUUCACAACACGCAGAGAAAUUUGCACCAAUGUUGAUAAACUACCCAUUUGAACAUUUUCUUCUUUAAUAGAGAUAAAUUAAAAGGUCAUACCAAAUUCAACAAUCCAAUAGAACAAGCUUGCAAGUUUCACCUAUGGAUUCUUUGUUUAUCUUAAAUACUCCUUUCUGCUGCAUCUAGUUUCAGAACAUCAUAAUCUUGUCCACUUUCAGAAAUUUAGAAGCCAUGGCCUUAAAGGUUACUCAAACCUUGGCCUUGUUGGUUGUUUUUGUUACUUUGAGUUUUAGAUUUCAAUAUUGUAAUGCAGCUGACUCUUCUGGAUUGGGAGCUUCUUUUAUUUUUGGUGAUUCUCUAGUUGAUGCUGGAAAUAACAAUUACCUACCAACUUUGUCUAAAGCAAAUAUCAAGCCUAAUGGAAUUGAUUUUAAGGCUUCCGGCGGAAACCCAACCGGCCGGUACACCAAUGGGAGAACCAUUGGCGAUAUAAUAGGUAAAUCUAAUUAAUUUCGAGCUAUGUUUUCUUAUAUUUGUUAAUUGAUUUAUUGAUAAUUCGUUUACAAUUCUUGUACUAUAAGAUCGACCAUAUACCAACUAGCUUAUUGCUUAAUUUUAAUUUAUGCAUUUGUUUCAUUUUUGUUUUAGGGGAAGAACUAGGGCAACCAAAUUAUGCUAUUCCAUUUCUAGCCCCAAAUUCAACUGGGAAAGCAAUACUGUAUGGUGUCAAUUAUGCUUCAGGAGGAGGAGGGAUUUUGAAUGCAACUGGAAGACUAUUUGUUAGCACUUAAUAAUUCCCAUAAUUAUUUUUAAAAAUCAUUUACAUAAUUAAUUAUCUAAUUGAAUAAUAACACAUGAAUAAUAUUGUUGCAGGUUAAUAGGCUAAGUAUGGACAUUCAAAUUGAUUAUUUCAACAUUACCAGAAAACAAUUUAAUCAAUUGUUAGGUCCAACAAAGGCAAAAGAAUAUAUUAGGAGGAAAUCCAUCUUCUCCAUCACCAUCGGAGCAAAUGAUUUCCUGAACAAUUAUCUACUUCCAGUUUUAUCUGUUGGUGCAAGAAUCACUCAAAGUCCUGACGGUUUCAUCGACGAUAUGCUCAGUCACUUAAGAGAACAGCUUACUGUAAGUAAAUUUUAAUUAGAAUUAAUUAAAAUUGCGUUUCAAUAUGUUCAUUUACUAACUCUUUGGUGGCCACAGAGAUUAUAUAAAUUGGAUGCUCGAAAAUUUGUAAUUGGAAAUGUCGGACCGAUAGGUUGCAUACCAUACCAGAAGACUAUAAAUCAAUUGAAAGAGAAUGAAUGUGUGGAUUUGCCUAAUAAGUUGGCAAAUCAGUAUAAUGCUAGAUUGAAAGAUUUGCUGACUGAAUUGAAUGAGAAUCUUCCUGGAGCUACCUUUGUUCAUGCCAAUGUCUAUGAUCUUGUCAUGGAAGUCAUCACGAAUUAUGAUAAAUAUGGUGAGUUAUAUAUAUAUAUAUAUAUAUAUAUAUAUACAAUUACGAUAAAUAAUGACCUAAUGCAAAAAUUUGACCCUGUAUUUUCGAUGAUUAUCCUUGUGGCCUCCUAAAUUUUACGAGGAACCCAUCAUGACCAUACACUUUUACAUUUCAAUAAUAAUUAUGCUACUCGCUAAAAUAAAAUACAGAAGAGUAGGUUUAUAAUUGAAUUUUUUGCAAAGUUUACGGGCCACAAGUAUAAUUAACCAAAGUUUCAGGGUCAAAUUUAUAUAUUAGGCCGAUAAAUAAUGAGAUAUGUGCAUAUGAUUAGAGUUAACUGGAUGUGAAUAUUUUUGCAGGGUUUACAACAGCAACAAGAGCUUGUUGUGGAAAUGGAGGGCAAUUUGCAGGGAUAAUUCCAUGUGGACCUCAAUCUAGUAUGUGCGAGGAUCGUUCCACGCAUGUGUUUUGGGAUCCUUACCAUCCAAGUGAGGCUGCCAAUCUUCUACUUGCCAAGCAAUUGCUUGAUGGAGAAAAAAAAUACAUUUCUCCUAUGAAUCUUAGGCAACUCAGAGAUCUUUGAUUUUCAUUUUUCAUGUGUAAUGAUUUUCUUUUAUUGAGCAAAAUCUAAUUUCUUCCUCCAUUAACAAGAUUUUGCUCUAUACCCUUUUUACCUUUUUCUUUUGUUUUCCUCUUCUUUGUUUCACAUUUUCAUUCUCCUUUCAUGUUGCCUUGCAAUAUGGUUUGAGAGUACAAUUUUAAACAAAAAAACUUAAUAAUUAAUUUUUAAUAGGGCCAAAUUAAGGCUUGUCUCUUUGUGUUUGCAUGUGCUCCGAUCUACAAGUGUGAUAUUUGGCAAUGAAGGGUACUACCGGGAGAAGAGAUAGACCUAAACUAUGUGAAAGGAAGUUAUUCCAAAUGACAGAUUUAGAUAUGAAUAUUUCAGUAUAGAGAUAAAUGAUUCAUAUAAUUAAUCAUAAUUAAUUAAAAUCAUAUUAAGGGAUUUAAUUAGGUGAUUAAUUGAAACCAGAGCUAGCAAAAUAGUUUACACCAAAAUCAAUUUUAUCGCUAAGAAAGUAAAAAUAUUUAACAGAAAUAUAAAUAAUUAUUGCUAAAAGAUUAAGGUACCUAGGAUUGUAUCCACGGAAUCUUAACUCGCUUUAAAAGAUAUAUAAUUAAAGAAUUGACUCAUAGAAAUUUUGCAUUGAGAAGAUUUGAACUCAUGACAUUAUGAGUCCUUCAAUCUCUUACAUGCACUUAGCUACUGUGCUAUCCAUGCAAUUUCCUUUAUUAUUUAUAUUGCUUAUUGCCAUUAAUAUUUAUAUUAAUAUUUGAAAAUAAAAAUUAUAGUAUUAUAAAAUAUUUUCACCCAUGAAAAUAAUGGGAAUUAAAGAGAAGGAAUCAGAAACGAAGAAGAAGAAGCCAAAAAGAAAAAGAAAGAGCAGAACGAGGAAGAGAAAAAGAGAAGGGAAAAUUGUCAGGUAUUAUGGACGACCGAAUAAGCAGACAAUGGGUGCUGACUGAGUGAGGAGGUUCAACAAUGUUGUCUUGAAAGCGACACAUGAUAUUGUCAAGUAGACAUUUAGAUGGCUACUGAGGCCGCGCGUGCCACUGUAAGAGAAUCCCCACCUCCAUCAUCCACCGACACCUCAGGUCCUUCACUGACACCUGUCUCUGUUUACCGGACCCCACCUAUCUCUUUCCCCUUCCUACUAGUCCUUGACUUCUUUUCUUCACUUAAAUAUCUAUAUACCAAAAAAUUAAAAAAAAAAAAGAUUUUAGGCGGUAAAAUUCCAAUUUUUUAAAUCUUAAAAAAAAAAAAAAAAUCAUUUUGGUUGGUUUUUAUUUGUUUUGGUCCAAUUGCAGUACAAAUUCUGGUCUAGUAUUGGUGAGGCAGAGCUUGUAUUACUUGUUUAGGAAGAGAGAUAAAAGGGUGAAAAAGACUUUUAACUUUUGUUGGAAAAUUUAGUGAAUCUACUUUUAGCAUGAGUUAGUCUUCCUGUGAUAUCUGCUAAUCUGUACUAGAAUUUACAAGAGAGAACAAAAAAGAAUUAAAUUUAUUUAUUUUCCUGAAUUUUUUGAUAAAAAAAUAUAACCAUAAAAUAUAAAUAUUCAAAUUCUAAAUUUUAAAUUUCACGUUCUUUGAAAAAAUUAUUAAAUUUAUUUAAAUUACAAUAAAUUAUCGAGUAAAUUGACUAUAUUGUUCUUAAUUUAAUACUAAUUCUUUAAGAAACCAUUAUAUUGAAUUAAUAAUUAUUGAUAAUAUACAAAUUGUAAAUAUGAAAAAAAAUAAAUUUUAUUACUCAUUGAAACCAUAAAUGUGACAAAUAUGUUAAAAUAAAUUAUUUUCUUAAAUGCGAUAAACAUUAUGAAACGGAGAGCAUUUGAUCGGUGAUAUGUGAAUCAUGAAUAAUGUUAGGAGGUUGAUUAGUAGUAUGAACUUAGGGGAAAUUAGUAGAAUAUUAAGUGAGUAGUUGAUAGCUUGUGCAUGUUAAGUUGAGAAUUUAAGUGUUUAAUUCAAGAAAAUUAAGUAGAGGACAAGAGAUUUAUGUUACCAUAAACGUGCUAUUCAAAAUGAAAAGACAUGGACCUUCCAUCCAAUGACUUCAACGUUUGUUUAUGCGUGCUUUGCAUGGGUACCACACGCACCUAUUAGAAAAAUAACCUUAUCCUGAUCAAAAUCAACGAAAAUAUAAAUUUUUAUUAAAAUAAUAAUAUUUUUGAUUAUAUAUUUUAAAUAUUUUUUUAUUAGUGAAAUAAAAAUUUGGCCCUUAAUAUUUUUUUUAAUAUUCCUUUAACCAAAUUUAUCCCUCUUUACUAUAAAUCAUACUCUGGUUGAAGAUAAUUUAAUUAGGGCAUUUUUUAUUAAAAAAAAAAAAAUUAUUGUAGAAAUAACAAGAUCUUAUAAUGUUAAUAAAAAUUCUCAUAAUAAUAAAUUAUAUUGCCACAAUCAAUCAUCUUGGAAUGGAAGGAUUCUUUUUCAAAAAAAACACACACACACACACACACAUUGGAAGAGUUAUAUGCAAACAUUGACUAAUGACAACGACAGGUGUAACAUAAUGUGACAUGAGGAGUACGUUUGAGUGGAAUAACGUCCGUGGGAUUUAACAUUAACCAAAAGAAGAAAGGAAUCGACGAUGAGGAUGGAAGGAGAGGAGAAUAGUGUGUCCAAAGAAAGGAAACAGUGCUGUUUGGUAACGAGAACAGUGUAGCGAGAAAUCCGGGAAGAGAUUGGAGAUGGGGCAGUACGGAGGAGGAAUCUGAUGCGGACAUGACGCGUCCGAAAUCAGAGGGAAGACCCAAUUAUUGCUUCCCACGCUGCCCCGACAUCUAUGAUUCUGUCGGUCCUGUCCCACCUCAGACACCCCCUCCCUCUCUCUAAUAACCACCGCUGCUACCACCACCUCCACGUCUAUCACCACCACCACCGCUACCACAAUCCAUCAGUCCGUCUCACUCUCACAUUCUUGGCUUCUUUUGCCGCUCAGCUUCUUCAAAUUUUGGCUCUCUCUCUUUCUCAGUGCAUUAGACAUGAUUCAACCUCAACUCACAGUAUAUCAAAUUUUGAAGAAUUUAAUCAAUCGAAUUACAUUCUUUUCCAUAAAAUAAAAUUCAUAAUACGAUCUACCAAUAAUGGUGAGUAUUCGAUUAAUCAAAUUGAAUUAGCUCAAUUUCGAUUUAAUUUAGUAUAUUUUUAUGGCAUUCAAAUCUGAAAUUAAAUAAUAUAAUAAUCGAUUCAAAUAGAAUUAAAUUGAUUUAAUUCAAUUAUUUUAAACCAAAUAAACAAUUUUAAACUUAAAAAUAAAUUCGUUUAAUUACGUAUGGUAAUCGAAUUUCUAAAAUAACAGAUGAAAAUAAGCAUUGUGUUUGUGUGUCCAUGGAUUUAUCUAAUAAUGGGUUUGAGAAUGAUUUAAAAGUGAAUAAGUGUGUAUAGGAUCUUGCGUAGCCCACAAAAAAUCUAUGCAUUUUUGUGUUGGAAGCAUGGGUGUAUGUAUUUUUUGUAUGUUCUUGUGAUUAGUAUAUUAAUCAAUGAAUUAAUUAAUUAAUUAAUGGCACAAUCUAUGCUUUGAAAUUUAUUAGUUUUAAAUAGUCUAUGCAUGACUAGGGGAAGAAAAAGAAACUGAUACUGACACAUCAAUUGCACAAAUCUAUUUCAAAUGAUUACACUUGUAUGACAAUUUUUUAAUCUAAGUUGGAAUUUCAGUCACAUGGUGAAGAGAUUGCUGUGAGCUGCAAUCCACUAGUAUUAUUCAUUAAUCAUAUAUUAAAAACAUUAUUUUUCUUCAAUUUUAUUUUAAGCAUAGCCAACAUUGGAAUAAAAACUUUAUAUAAUCCACCAUAAUGACUUUAGAAUUAACGCUUAAUUUAUAAUAAAAAUUUAAGCAUUUUCUAUUGAGAAUACUUCAUAAAAAAAUAUAAACAUUGAAACCGUCCAUAAACUUAAUUAAUUUCUGUUUAUUCUUAAAGGUAAAAGUUUUAAUUUAACAAAAUUUACAUAGUGAAAGAUCACACUCAUAAUCUAAAUUACGACGAUCGUCCUCGCAAAUAUCGUUUGAUGCUGAAACUUCCCAUUCAGGUUUGUUAAGAUGGAUUAUUCUAGUCUGUAAUUGGGAAGACUAGUACUGGUUGGUUAAUUGAUUAAGGACAAUCUAAUUCUAGUAUAUAAAAAGAAUGGAAAAAGGGCAGGCUAUCUGUCUCUUAGCAUAAUGGUUGUAUUAUUGGGAUUUGGAAUGUAGCUAGAGCUACCUUUGUUUGCUCCAAAUUCUACUCAGUGCAAUCCUUAUCUAGAGCAGCCUCUCUCUUUCUAAUUAAUGGAAACAAAAACGAAGUGACAUAAUGUGUUUUCUUUUUGGUUUUUCUGUUUUACUUUCCUUCUCAACAAUAUGAAAAUGAAAUAAAUAUAACAAAAUGUGUCCUUUUUUCUUUUUUUUUUUACUUGUAUAAAAUUAAUUUGAAGAGUGUUAUUGAAAAGGAAAAGUAUUCAUGUAAUGCAAUUCAGGAACAUAUUAGCAAUUAUGGUGAUGUAGACAAUAAGUUUUAAAUUUAGAGUAUUAGUUUGAAGAAUAAUUCUAAUUAUCACUUGGACUAUAAUUAGUGACCUAUGGGCCCUUGUUUUGAUCAAUAAUGCUAAUGCCUCUACCUAACUUAUCACAUCCUUCCCCACCACCAUAGAAAGAUUAGUAGAUAGAUAGAGAUAGAUAGAAACUAUCUAUUCUAAUUCUAAAUGAAGAAAUUAAAAAAAGAAAAAUAGCAAUAUCAUAAAUUUAACUCUGAACUUUGACUGAUGAUUCUCUAGAUUUUGAAAAAGUGUUGAUUCGGUAUCUUUCUUUUUCACAUUUUAUUUUAUUAAUGAAUAUAAUUAUUAUUGAAAUUUAAAAAUUAAGGGAAUUACAAGAAUAAUCGAUGAUACGAGAUUCAAGAAAUCAGAAGAAUAAUGAACAAACACAUGGUCAAAUUUAUGCAUUAUCCUCUAUAUUUCAAUUACCUUUUUUGCUUUUAUCUAUGCACAUUCAUACAUACAUACAAAACACGAGCCGCAUACCCUAGCUGAUUAAUUAAUAGCCGAUCCAUUCUGGAGCCGACUGAAAUGUCGUGCCUAACAGAACACUGAAAAGCUGCACUCUCUCUCUCUUCUCAUAUAUCCCUCAGAACUCGUUUCAGUGUCCUCCAGAUUCUCUCUCUCUCUCCAUAAAAGGCCCAUCUCUGCUCUUUUGCCACCCACACAAACACAAACACAAACAAUCCAUACCCAAUUCCACAUUCUUCUUUGCUGUCCAUUUUCUCAACUCUUUUAAUCUUUAUCUUCUUCUUUCUCGAAUAUUGAUCAUAACUAACCAAAAGCAAAGCAGAACAAAACAAAGAAGAACGAAACCUAAAUUACCCACUUCCCAUUUCCCAAAAUGCCAUCAGACUCUUCUUCCACUGAAACUAGAAGAUUAACUAAACCCCAUAACACAGGAGCUCCACCGCCAGACCAAGAACACCUUCCAUGCCCGCGCUGCGAUUCUACUAACACUAAGUUCUGCUAUUACAACAACUAUAAUUUUUCCCAGCCUCGUCAUUUCUGUAAGUCUUGUCGCCGUUACUGUCCCCCCGGCGGCACCCUUCGUGCCAUUCCGGUUGGUGGUGGCACUCGGAAAAAUGCUAAAAGAUCACGCACCACUUCUAGUGGUUGUACUGUAGUAGGGCCUAUGACGGCCAACACAGCUGACCAUAACAUUCCAUUACCGGCUACACCAGUACUGGUCCCACUUAUGGCCAAACAAGGAAAUUCUAUACAGUUUGGCUGCGGUGGCGGUGAUGGGAAGGGGAAUGGGUGUGGUUCUAGUGGUAAUUCUACAGUAUCUGGUAGCUUUACUUCUUUGUUGAAUACUCAGGGCCCUGGAUUUCUAGCAUUGAGUGGGUUUGGGCUUGGACUUGGAUCUGGGUUUGAAGAUAUGGGCUUUGGGCUUGCAAGAGGAGUCUGGCCUUUUCCCGGUGUAGGAGAUGGUGGUGCUGGCGGUGUUGGUAGCAAUGGCGGUUCUGCUGGAGGAAUGAGUAACACGUGGCAAUUUGAGAGUGGUGAUAAUGGAUUUGUAGGUGGGGAUUGCUUUUCUUGGCCAGAUCUUGCUAUUUCAACCCCAGGAAAUGGUCUUAAAUGAGAUAUUGUUCUUUUAGUAGUUCUUGUUUUUUCUCUGAUGGGUUUAGACCCAAUUCUAGGAAAAAAAAAAAAAAAAAUUAAAGAACCUUGUUUGAUGGGUUUAGUUAAUUAAUUACUACUUACUAUUAAGUGUUGAGAAGAUAAUUAGGUUUGAAAUUAGAAAGAAAAAUAUGUAACUUUUCUUUACUCUAUUUCAUGUGAUUUUGUUAGUUUGAUGUACCUCUUUUUGUGUAGUUUUCAUAUACAUGCCACCCUUUAAAUUCUCUUUUCCUCUCUAGCAAAUUUUUAAUACAAACUUUUUAUUGAAUGAUUAUGGACCGACUAAUCUUAAUUUAAUAUGAAAUUCACAUUUUCUUCUAUUCAUUUCAUGAAUGGGUACAAAUGGAAUUUCCCUUUUAGAGUUUGCAGCAUAUACUUCAAUUUGUAUUUAAUAUAUAAUAAUUGACUGAUUUGAUUUUUGAGGCCCACAUUUAAAUUUUAAUUCUUAGUAUAAUUUAUAAUGAUUUGCUAGUUCAACAUUAAUUGAGUGCAAUCAUUCUCAUUGCAUAAGCAUCACCCAAUUUCUACUCUCCUAUCCCAAUGCAUUACCUGCUCUACAGAAUUCUGCAAUUGAAGUUUCAUAUGCCAGGACCCACAGAGUUGGACCUCUAGAACCUCAGCCUAAUGGUUAAUCAAAUUGCAAAAAUUAUAUUUUCUUUUAUUUUGCAAUUAUUAAAGGAGCAUUUACAUUAAUUAUGAGAUAAAAAAUUAAUUAUGGUGUCGCUUGGUGUUUAUAAUUAAAUUUAACUUCAAUUUUCAUAUCUUUUUCAUUUAAUCAGAUAUUUUGAAUUCAAACCAUGAAAUUUAAUUAGUAAAAAAAUUAUAUAUCUUAUUAGACCAUUUUUAUCGUUGAAGAUACAAUUAUUUUCUUACUCUCGUAACCUACUUGAUACUUCGUUAGUAACAACGUUUGCAUUUUUUAUUGAAAGUGACAUAUUAUCUUAAUAUAGGGUAUAUUAGAAAAAUGCAAGUAAAAUUUAAUAUUAUUCUAAUAAUAUUAAUUGCUUUGCUUAAUCUAUGUAAAAAUAAAAAUAAUAGUAUCUUUUUAGGCCAAAGAGAGUAAUAUAAUAAAAAAAUUAAAUUAAAUAAGAUAGUGUUAUUUUUCUUUAACAUAAAAUAAAAAAGUUAAAGCCAAAUCAAACUAAAUUAUAUAUGAUAGACAUUAUAUAUAAAAGUACGAGGAUAUUGGGUUCCUAAAAUGCGCCGCUAAAUUUUCAAAUUGACAAAAAUAUUAUGGAUCGAGAACUUUAAUUUUAUUGGUUAAAAAAUAAAUAUAGUUUAAUUUUAAUUGUUUACGUUAAUUUACUAUUUGAAUCUAAAUUUUAUUAAAAAUUUUAAUCUAAUUUUAAAUAGAAAAUUUUCUAAUUUAGUCUCAUUUAAAUUUGGAUAAAAAUAAAAUAAAAUAUUAUUAUUUGGAAAUUUUAAUUUUAUUGGUUAACUGAUUUCCUAUUAUAUAAUGAUUUGCUACAUGUAAGGGGAAAAAAAAAAAAGGAUUACGUUAUAUUAAUCCUAUUAUACUACUUUCUACAUUGAAGGAAAAAAAAACAACUGACUAAUUUCUUUCUAUUAUAUUCAUACCUUCUAUACGUGGGUAUAUAUAUAUUCAAAAAAAAAAAAUAUAAAUGAAGAUAUUAUUAAUAUAAAUUAUUAUUAAUUAUAUAUAUAUAGAUUUUGUUUUAUAUAUGAGUUUGAAAAUUAGCUUGUUCGACUCAAUUAGGACUAUUAACUCGAUUAGGAGUAAGAAAUUAGCUUAUUCUACAAAUUAUAUGAAAUCAAUUAUUUACAUAAGCUAGUGUAAAAAAAUUUAUAGUGUUAUCAAAAUCCUUAAUUAUAGCGGUAUAUAUAAUAAAUCCCUCUUAAAUUUUAGGGUGUCACAAUUUUUUUUUUAAAACUUAUAGGUAUUAAUUUAGAUAUUUGGCUACAUAAUUAAUUAUUUCUUCUAUAUGUUUAGAUUUUGAUUUGAUAGAAUUAGAAUAAUAAGGAGAUGACUACAAUAAAUUGAAUUUUUUUAAAAGAAACCGAGCAAAGCUGAAAUUUGUUUAGAACCAAAUCAAACUAAUUUAAUUAAGCUUAGUUUGAUUUACCUUUUUGAUUUUUCCUUAUUUUUUAAGAUUUUUAUAACUUAAAUAGGUUUAAAAAAAAAAGAAUUUUUGAUUUUUCUGUGUACACUAAAAUCAAACUGAUAAAUUUUAAAAUCAAAUUCAUUUGAUUCGAUGGAUUCAGUCUAUUUUUUCAAACAGUGCUCAACCUAAUCCAAUCGAUGAAAUAUGGUAUGGAUAUAAAAAUUUCCAUUUAAAAUUUUCAAGGAAAAUUUCUUUUCCUAAGAUAGCAGAUAUCUAUUUACGUUAAAUUAUAUAUAUAUAUAUAAUCAGUCCAUCUUAUAUUGUCAAAAUCAUUGCAAAUCAUAAAUUCAUAACUAAGUGCUCGUUAAGAUUUUCCAUGGCUCGUCCUAUCUUUAGCAUUUUAGUAGCUUUUUUGCUUAUUAUCAAGUUCCAUGAUUUUGCUGGUAUGUUAUAUUAUUAUUAUUUUUCUGAAAAAUACUAUCAUAUUUGUUUAUUAUUAUACUUUGUAUAGAUUUUUUUGAGUCUGUUGGGUAAAAUUAACUGUUUAAGUGGUUAGUUAUUAACUGUUUGAGUAGUCCUAAAACACUACAAGCUAAACAUUAGAUUAGUUAUUUUUUUUAUAAAACGCUGCCUUAACUUCUAAAUGAAUUGGUUACACAGUUUAAACAAAAUUUUUUCAUCCCUUACUUCUUAUUAAGUUACCCAGUUUUUUCCGAAUGCUAAUUUUGUUGCCUGGUAAACCACCAUUGGUGCUAUGCAGGAGCAGAAAUUGGUGUGACCUUCUCAAGACUAGCAGACAACUUUCCACCAGCACAAGUAGCUGUAAACUUUGCUGAAUCGAAAGGCUUCAAAAGAAUUCGUCUUUACAAGCCCCAUCACGAUGCUUUACAAGCAUUGAAAGGUCAGGGCAUACAAGUGAUCUUAGGAGUUGGCGACGACGAAGUUGAAGCAGUAAGUAAAUCCGCUGCACCGAAAUGGGUCAAAGACAAUGUUGUGCCAUAUGCAAAUCAAAUAACCAUUAUAGCCAUAGCUAUUGGACAUGAUCUAAUCCCUAAUAGUAAAUUAGCAGUUUACGUUCUUCCUGCACUGCAAGCAAUGAAAGAAGCACUGGAAGAUCAUGGGCUUACUCUUAUUUCUGUAACAACGCCAUUUACAUUAAAUACACUUCUUACACAUUUUCCUCCAUCCCAUUCAACUUUUGAUCCGCAAAAGAUUUAUCUUAUUAAACCCAUUAUCAAUUUCUUGGCAACUCACAGUCCUCUUCUUUUAUGUGAUAUUUACCCUUAUGAAGCUUAUCUAAUGGACUCUCACCUUGUUAGUUUAGAUUAUGCUUUGCUUAAUAAGACAAAUGUUGAGGUUCUAGAUGGUCCAUUCGAAUAUACCAAUAUGCUUGAUGGUUUAGUAGAUGCUUUUUACAGUGCAAUUGAAAAACUUGAAGCAGGACCUGUUAAGAUUGUUGUGAGUGAAACUGGGUGGCCGUUUUCUGAAAAAAUAUAUGCUUCUGCUCAAUAUGCAAGAGCGUAUGCUUCAAAUGUGUUCAAACGGGGACAAGCAAAUACAGGAACACCGAAGAAACCUUUUUGGGCAUUGGACGUUUUUGAAUAUAACUUGUUUUUUCAAAAUGAUGCUCCUCUAGAUAAGAAACCAUAUGCUUUAUUUUACCCUAAUAUGUCUGCCAUAUAUUUUAAUUAGGGUUUGUAUUGGAUAUUGUAAAAUCUUAUCACUUUUUUAUUUUAUAACUUAUUGUGUGUAAGAAUAAAUGUGAAAUAAUUUAUAUAUUUUAAGAUUUGCUGUCUGAAGUUUUCAUAUUUUCCAAAUUCAGUUCAAAAACAAUUCCUUACAAAUUAUAUUUUGCCCACUCAAAAUGUUAAAAAUUAAUAUUUCACAGCAUUUGUUUCAGCCCUUGAACUUUAUUUUCUAAUUUCACCCGACACUUGAUAAUGCAUUUCUUUCUUUUUCUUUUCUUUUUUUUUAAUUUUUUUUUGUUAUUUGUGUAUACUUAUCAAUGCUGGCUAUAAUGCAAAGUAAGAGUUCAUUGAGAUAAUAAAUAUUUUCUAUGUAGAUUAGGUUAAAAUCUAUUGCAUUUAAAUUAAGAAAAACAUUGCCUACUCCUUGCGUAUAUCCAGUUAUCCAUUCAUAUGCCAAAUCAAUUAAAAAAAUGUUUUUGGCUGUAAUGGGAUGUUUUUGAUCAUUCAUUGAAAAAAAAAUGAUAGAACAAUAAUAAAUUAAAAAAAUCUCUAUUGAUUGAUUUGUGUACGAUAAAUAUUUAUUAGAGACUUAACUGUAAUUUAUAUAUAAGACCUAAUUAUAUUUUGUGAACUAAAUAUUAUAUUGUGCAUAGAAUUUGAUUACGAUUAUUUCUAAUCAUUCUUCGACACUCAAUUGAUGAUCAAUCACUCCAAAAUAAUUAUUCAAUUCGUAUUUCAAACACUUAUUUAAUAAGGAUUCCAACUACAACUUUAAUCAAUAUCUUUCUACAAAACUCUCUACACAGUUAGGCAAUAUCUACGCAAUAGGCAACAUAGUAUCUAUUUAAUUGGGAUUAUUUAUUAUUCUUUUACUAAGUUAAGAAUCAAAGUGGUUAUUUGAAAUAUCCCGAAUUUUUAUUUUCGAAACUUUCAAAUUUAAUUUAAACCAAAAAUCGAAAAUUUUUACUAUGUGGACUGUAAUUAUAAUACAGUUCCAAAUUCGAGCCCAAACUUUCCGAAUUGGCCCCAAGCCCAAAAGCAAAUUAUUCGAAAUCUUCGAUUUGAAAACACUUAAAAUUUUUGAGAAAUAAUAUGAAACUCCGGUAAUUAAUUUAUGAUGAAUAUAUAUAUAUAUAUUUAAAUACACAAUUAAAACGAAUAGAAAAUUUAUUAGAAGAUAAACCAAUUGUAAAUGAGAAUGUGAAAGGUAAAGAAAAGGUAAAAACUCAUAUGUUUAAACCUUAUCAAAUUUCUCAAUCUAGUCAAAAAGAAUUUGUACAUCAAUUAAAAGAUCAAUUAAGUAAAAUUCAAGUUAGAUCUGCGACUACCCAACAUGUAGCUCAGGAUACUCCUCAAUCAUCAGCAUCAAGAAACAUAAAUAUAAUUGAAGAAAACACCAACUCUGAUGUUAGUGAACCUGACUCAGAAAAUAUUCAACAAUUUGAAAUCAAUCCUAUAAAUCAUCAUAGAGAAAUAGUAAAUAGAGCACCAGACUUAGGAAUUGUUGAUAAACCUAAUACUAUAUCUCAAUUUAAAUAUAAUGCUUCAACAAUCUAUGAAUGGAACAUAGAUGGUUUAAGUGAAUAUAAUAUCUUAAGUAUUUUGCAACAAAUGACAAUGGCUGCAAAUGCUUAUAAAACACAGUCAAUCAUUUCUGAUAAAGCUAUAGCAGAAAUCUUAAUUGCUGGAUUUACCGGCCAACUUAAAGGAUGGUGGGAUUAUCAUCUCACUGACCAACAACAUUUAGAAAUUCUAAAUUCAAUUCAAAUAAAUGAUGAAGGUGAACCUAUAUAUGAUGAAAAUGGUGAAGUAAUUCAAGAUGCGGUGUCAUCUUUAAUUCUCACCAUUUCACUUCAUUUUAUAGGAGAUCCAUCUCACUUAAAAGAUAAAAAUGCCGAGUUACUUAGUAAUUUAAAAUGUAAACAUUUAGGUGAUUUUCAAAAUUAUAAAACGACUUUUCUCACUAGAUUAAUGUUAAGGGAAGACUCUAAUCAAAGCUUUUGGAAAGAAAAGUUUUUAGCUGGGUUACCUUAUUUCUUGGGAGAAAAAGUUAGAAAUCAUAUUAAACAACAACAUGGUCAACCUAUACCUUAUAGUAAGUUAACCUAUGGACAAUUAAUUAGUAUAAUUCAAAAGGAAGGUUUACAAAUAUGUCAUGAUCUAAAACUUCAAAGAAAAAUAAAAUAUGAAAUGCAAAAAACUAAAAAAGAAUUAGGAUCAUUUUGUAAGCAAUUUGAUUAUAAUUUCGUAUCAAACCAACGAUGUGAUGGUCAAUGUUCUAAAACAAAUAAACCUAAAAAAUAUUAUAGAAAUAAAUACUCUAAAAAACAAUAUAGAUAUACACCUAGUCAAGAUAAAUUUUAUAGUAAAAAGAAGACAAAAUCUUCUUAUAGAAACAAAAAUAAACAACCUUCUAGAUCUACCACUAAAACUUCUUAUAAAAAUUUAACUUGUUACAAUUGUGGUAAAAAAGGGCAUACAUCUAAAUUUUGUAAAUUUAAUAAAAGAUUACAUGAAUUAAAUUUGGAAGAAAACGUUUUAAGUAAAAUAUACGAACUCUAUAUUGAUUCGGAUUCUUCGGAAUCUGAGACUAAUGAAAGUGAAAAUCAAAUUGAUGAAUUAGGAACUACUUCAAGUUCUUCCAGUUCAUCAAAAUUUUCUUUAAACAUGUUAUCUAAAGAUCAAAGCAAUUUAUUAACAGUAGUUAAUGAUAUUGAAGAUCAAGAAACUAAAGCUAAACUUCUUAAAAAACUAAUAAACAGUUUUGAAGACGUAGAUGAAGUAAAAAAUAUUACUCCUAAAAUUCAGUCUAAUAUUUAUGAUUUAACUACCAUUUUAAAUAAAAAUCAACCUAAAAAGGUCGAUAUAGAUGACUCUACUAAAGAAUUAUAUAAAGAAAUUAAGAUGCUAAAAAAUGAAGUAAAAGAAUUAAAAACCCAACUUCAACAAAAUUCUAAAAAAAUAAAAAUAUUAGAAUCUCAACUUAUUUCCAGUUCUUCUUCAGAAGAAGACGAACCAGAUAAUAAUUUAAAAAUAAAUGAAUUAGAUGAAGAUGUAGAUUGUAAUUUUCUCAAUUUAUUACAAGAAAUCACUUCACGAAAAUAUUUAGUAAAAAUAAACAUUCAAAUAAAUGAUUUUGUGAUAGAUGCAAUUGCACUCUUUGACACAGGUGCAGAUUUAAACUGUAUAAAAUCUGAUCUAGUUCCUAAAAGAUAUUGGUUAAAAACUAGUGAAAAAUUAAGUACAGCCAACAAAUCUAAACUUGAAAUUAUAGGAAAAACAGAUGCAAUAAUCAUAGAUCAAGCCUUAGAAAUAAACACAGUAUUUUUACUUUCACCUCAGAUAAAUUAUAUGGUAAUAUUAGGCACUCCAUUUAUAAAUCUCAUCACACCAUAUUCAGUUAAAGAGGAUUGUAUUAAAUUUAAAAUAAAAAAUUGCAAAGCUCAAUUGGAAUUUACGGAAAAACCUAAAAAGAAACAAUUAAAUUUACUAAAAGCUCAUUCUAUUAAAAUGUUAGAAAUAAAUUCUUUAAUCAAAUCUAAAGAAGAAAACUUAAAAGAUUUGAAAAAUAAUGCAUGUUUAAAUAGAAUUAAAAACCAAUUAAAUUCUGAUGAUAUCCAAAAUAAAAUCUCAACUCUAAAAAAUUUUAUGGAAAACAAAUUAUGUGCUGACCAUCCAAAUGCUUUUUGGAAUCGUAAACAACACAUAGUGGACUUACCAUAUGAAAAAGAUUUUGAUGAAAAAACCAUUAAAACUAAAGCUAGACCAAUUCAGAUGAGUCCUGAAUUGAUUGACCAUUGUAAAAAUGAAAUUCAAGAUUUACUUAAUAAAAAAUUAAUUUCUAAAUCUAGAAGCCCAUGGUCUUGUGCAGCUUUUUAUGUAAAUAAAAACGCUGAAAUAGAACGAGGUGCUCCCAGAUUAGUAAUAAAUUAUAAACCAUUAAAUACAGCUUUAAAAUGGAUUAGGUAUCCUAUUCCAAAUAAAAAAGAUCUAUUAAAGCAACUCUAUAAUGCAAAUAUUUUUAGUAAAUUUGAUAUGAAAUCUGGCUAUUGGCAGAUUCAAAUUGACCCUAACGACAGAUAUAAAACAGCAUUUACCGUUCCAUUUGGUCAAUACGAAUGGAAUGUAAUGCCUUUUGGAUUAAAAAAUGCUCCUUCUGAAUUUCAAAGGAUCAUGAAUGAUAUUUUUAACCCUUAUUCUAAAUUUUGUAUUGUUUAUAUUGAUGAUGUGCUUAUAUUUAGUACAACUCUAGAAGAUCAUUUUAAACAUUUAAAAACAUUUUGUAUGAUUAUCGAGAAAAAUGGUUUAGCAUUAAGUAAAGCUAAAAUGGAUUUGUUUAAAACUAAAAUAAGAUUUUUAGGACAUCAUAUAGAACAAGGUAAGAUUCAACCUAUAGAAAGAGCACUUGUUUUUGGUGAAAAAUUUCCUGAUGAAAUUUCUAAUAAACCCCAAUUACAACGUUUUCUUGGUUGUUUAAAUUAUGUAAUUGAUUUUUAUCCAAAUUUAAAUUGCAUGAUAAAACCUUUACAUAAUAGACUUUGUAAAAAUGCUGGUCCUUGGACAACUCAGCAUACUCAACUAGUAAAAAAGAUAAAAUCAUUAGUAAAAGAAAUCCCUUACUUAUAUAUUCCUGAUCCUAAUGCUUUUAAAAUUGUUGAAACUGAUGCUUCUAAUAUUGGUUAUGGCGGCAUUUUAAAACAAAAAAUUAAUAGUAAAGAAAGAAUAAACAAACUGAUGCUUCUAAUAUUGGUGGUGGUGACCUUGCAACUUUCUGGGCGGUUUCACUUUUCCGUCCACCGGGCGGCGGCGGCGGCGGCGGUUCGGGAUCGGCCGGCGAGACUCCGGCGAGACUUCAAAAGGCAGAAUGCUCUCCUCUUCGUGCGGAUCAUGGAAAUAAAAUCCGAUUUUCAAUCGGUACAUUGUAAGGCUUAAUUGUCCAUUUUUCGGUAUAAGGUUUACAACUUGAAUUAACUAAUUAAUUGGAUAUAAGAUUAAUUGAAUUAUUAAAAGUUGGGAGUUUUAUGAAAUUAAAUUGCAAUUUGUGAGUAAAUCCCAAAUUUAAUGACUUAAUGAAUUAAUCGAGUGUCAAGUGGAUUAAAUUGAAUAUUAUAAAAUGUAGUUCAUGAAUAUUAGUUAUAAUAUCGACUUUGAAAUAUGAAGUUUUGCUAAUAAUUAUAUACGUUAAUUUUUGGAAUUUAAUAAGUAUAAAUUGGAGAAAUUAUAAUGUAAGGUAUAGAUAAAUAAAAUUCAUGAUAUUAUGGAAAUUAAAAACUUAUUGGUGAUAGAAUUAUCAAGUGCCUAUGUAUGGUGAAUGACUAAUAAGUGAUGUUUAUGGUGGACGGGAUCGGUUAAUGUGAGUUGCCCGAUGGAUGGGCCGUGUGUUGACAUGUGAGAAAUAUAAAAUUGAGUAGUAUAGUUUAUAAGGGAAAUGCCGUCGAAAUUUCGGUAAAACACUUAAGAAAACUCUUAAAAGAUAGUACGAUUAAAAUUAUUAUCGUUAUUAAUAUUAUGUUGUCACCCGUAUUAUUAUUAUUAUUAGUAUUAUUAUGACUAUCAGUAUUUAUAAGAACAUUACUUAACGAAUGACCAAACGUUUUAUAUAAAACUAAUAACUUUGAAAUAAAUAUAUAAAUGAGGAAAACCCAACAUAUAUGCACAUAUAAUAAAUGAAUUAAAUGGCUGGUAACCAAAACUAAUAAAAGAAUGUGAAAUAUAAGUUUUCGAAUUAAAAUUUUUAUUUAGAAUUUUCUUGUUUAUUUUAAAGGUUUAUAAAAUACCAAAAUGCGAGGACAAAAGCUGGAAGCAUGUGGCUAAAAAGGCAGUCCUUUUAAAGGACAAUAAAGAACUGUGAGUAGUGUUAGAUAACUAGUAUCAUCCGCCUGCAUUCAUGCAUUCACGGCUAAAUGCUAUCAUGCAUUAAUUUGUUGAAUUGCCAUAUUGUGCUGCACUAAUUGUUGAUAUUAAAUAAAUUAUGUGAUUACUUGUGCUGUGUAUAUACUGUGCCUUGUUUGUGUGGAAUUGGGAUGAAGUGGGUCACCAUGGGUUUGUGAGACUGNNNNNNNNNNNNNNNNNNNNNNNNNNNNNNNNNNNNNNNNNNNNNNNNNNNNNNNNNNNNNNNNNNNNNNNNNNNNNNNNNNNNNNNNNNNNNNNNNNNNNNNNNNNNNNNNNNNNNNNNNNNNNNNNNNNNNNCUCUUUGGGCGCACCUGAUGAUCUAGAUUUGAUUGUAGCCCGCAGGGUGGCCUCCUGUUGUGAGCACUUGAUGAUCGAGAUUGGAUGGAGACCACCGAGUUGCCUCCUGUUGGUAUUUUUUUUUUAAACAAAAAAAAAAAAAAAAGAUAGUGAGACUGGAAAAAUAAUCAGAGGACCGACAGUGUGAGGAUUAUACCGGUCAGCCAGAAUGGGGGAUUGGCUCCCUGGUGCACAUGUGAGUGGAUGGGCCAUGUGGGAGGACGGCUCAUCGGGUUCCCGUGACUCCACUGACUAAUUUCCACGUGAUAUGAUUAUAUGAAGGUGAUAAUACUUGUGAUUGCUGUUGUAUUGCCAUUUGUGUGACAAACUGCAUGAUCAUAAACUUCAACAGUGACCAGAUAAAAAUAUUUUAGCAUCUGUGUGACUGUGUGGGGUGAGAGGGUUAUCUAACCCUACUCAUUGAGUUUGGCGCUCACCCCUGCCUACUUUUUUUUUCCAGGUAAUAGAAAGAAAGGAAAGCCCUAUGGAGUUGAAAUACUUAUUAUAGAAGACUUUUAAUGAUAGAAAUAACGAUGUGAAUGUAAAGGUAGAGUUCCGCAAUUGGAUUCCAGUUGGUUUGUAAAUAAAUAAUAAAAGUCCAUAUUACAUAUAUGAACUGUAUUUUGAAUGCAUAUGUAUAAUAAGUAAUGGGCCUGAAUCCAUAAUUAUGAAUAGAAUGUAAGAUUUAAAUAAGUUAGGCUUACUACGGGCUUUGGGGGCCUUAAGCCCACCCAAAUCCUAGUGCCGGUCCGGCCACGGAAAUGGUUCGUGACAUUACUGACUUAAGAGCCGCUCUUUUCUCUCCCUUCUCCAUCCAUGUCUUACAGAUUUCUAUAUCGGUGUAUUAUGGAUAAAUUUUUAUGAAUAUAUCACCUGUAAAUGCUAGCUAAAAUGCCAAGCAAGAGUUGAUCGAGACUUUUCUAUGUAUUUUAGGUUAAAAUCUAUUGCAUUUUGGCAGAAAUAACAAGUUAAUUAAGAAGAGGCUUCUAAGUUAAAAGAAAAGAAUUGCCUACUCCCUAGUGUAUAUCCACUCACAUUCUAAAUCAAUCAAAAAGAUGUUUUUGACUGUAAUGAGUUAUUUCUGUCUAUUCACUAAGAAAAAUAUAAAACAACAAUAAAUUAAAGAAAAACCUUUAUUUUUUUAGAAGAAAGAAAAUAUCUAUUAAUUGAUUUGUCGUACGAAAUUAUCUCAUAGUGUAAGUAUAGGCAAAUUUUAUCAUAUAAAUUAUAGGUCAAAACGAUGAGAUAUUUUAAGGAUACAACAUCUCCUUUUGAAAUUCACCACUUGGAAAAAAUGAGAUUCCCUCCCAAAUUUCAUUAAUAUGAAAAUCUUUUUGUCUCUAAUAUGAAAUUUUUUUAUUAUUUAAAUAUUUUUUAUCGAAACCAUUUUAAUGAUUCUUAACAAAAUACUAUAUAUUUGCUUACUUUUCACUAAUCAGUGAUUACAUUCUAUAUUUGCACCAAAACCACUAAAUCAAUUACUUGUCUUAGUGAAAUAGCCAUUUGGUUAUUUAAAUAUCUGUUGAUAUUGAAAUCAUUAUUUAUUCAUUUGAUUUUUCAACUUUUUAUAUUGCAGCGAAAACAUCGAUUGACAUUAUAGUUUUAGUGCAACAGACUCUCUAUUAUAACAUGUAGUAAAUAGUUUCCAUUUUGAAUCAAAUUGGUAAAUAGUUUUUGAAACAACAUUAUUUUUGUUAAUGUCUUUAUCAAUGGCAAGUAAAAGUUGAUUGAGAUAAUUUUUUUUUUUUUAAGUUAAAAUCUAUUGCAUUUCAAAAAAUAGCAUUUUGUUAUAAAUAAUAACAAAAAACGAUGAUAUAUAGCAAGGACAUGAAAUUUCCUUUUAACUCAUCAGAAUAAAAAAAACGAAAAUGAUUUUUCCUUCCCAAACUUUUUUUUUAUAUGUAUAUAUAAAGUCGGUUCAUCUUGUACUGUCAAUAUCAUUACAAAUCAUAAUCAAGUCCUUAUGGUUAUGACUCACUAGUGUAUCUUUACCCUUUUAGCAGCAUUUUUGCAUAGUAUUGAGCUCCAUGACUUUGCAGGUAUGAUAUAUUAUUUNNNNNNNNNNUUUUUUUUUUUUUUUUGCAAACUUAAUUAACUGAAUUUAACUACUUACAAACUAUCAUUUCUCUGUGCAGGAGCUCAAACUAUUGGUGUUAACUUAUGGCAGAGUUGCUGACAACCUUCCCCUUCCUCAUCAAGUAAUACUGUGUGCAAAUCCAAGAACAUUCAAAGAAUUGAAAAACGAAACCUAAAUUACCCACUUCCCAUUUCCCAAAAUGCCAUCAGAUUCUUCUUCCACGGCAACUAGAAGAUUAACCAAACCCCAUAACACAGGAGCUCCACCGGCAGACCAGGAACACCUUCCAUGCCCGCGCUGCGAUUCUACUAACACUAAGUUCUGCUAUUACAACAACUAUAUUUUUUCCCAGCCUCGUCAUUUCUGUAAGUCUUGUCGCCGUUCCUGGACCCACGGCGGCACCCUUCGUGACAUUCCGGUUGGUGGUGACACUCGGAAAAAUGCUAAAAGAUCACGCACCAGUUCUAGUGGUUUUACUGUAGUAGGUCCUAUGACGGCCACCACAGGUAACCAUAACCUUCCAUUACCGGCUACACCACUACUGGCCCCACUUAUGGCCAAUCAAGCAUCGUCUAUACAGUUUGGCUGCGGUGGCGGUGAUGGGAAGGGUAAUGUGAGUGGUUCUAGUGGUAAUUCUACAGUAUCGGGUAGCUUUACUUCUUUGUUGAAUACUCAGGGCCCUGGGUUUCUAGCAUUGAGUGGGUUUGGGCUUGGACUUGGAUCUGCGUUUGAAUAUAUGGGCUUUGGGCUUGCAAGAGGAGUCUGGCCUUUUCCCGGUGUAGGAGAUGGUGGUGCUGGUGGUGUUGGUGGCAAUGGCGGUUCUGCUGGAGGAAUGAGUAACACGUGGCAAUUUCCCUUUUAUAGUUUGCAGUAUAUAUUUCAAUUUGUAUUUAAUAUAUAAUAAUUGACUGAUUUGAUUUUUGAGGCCCACAUUUAAAUUUUAAUUCCUGGCAAAAUUUAUAAUGAUUUGCUAGUUCAACAUUAAUUGAGUGCAAUCAUUCUCAUAGCAUAAGCAUCACCCAAUUUCUACUCUCCUAUCCCAAUGCAUUACCUGCUCUACAGAUUUGCAGUUGGACCUCUAGAACCUCAGCCUAAUGAAUAAUCAAAUUGCAAAAAUUAUAUUUUCUUUUAUUUUGCAAUUAUUAAAGGGGCAUUUACAUUAAUUAUGAGAUAAAAAAUUAAUUAUGGUGUCGCUUGGACACACUCUACAUUUAUAAUUAAUUUUAACUUCAAUUUUCAUAAAUUUUCGAAUAGAAGAAGAGAUGACAAUGAUUUUUUCUCUGUUAACUAAAUAUGUUAACUAAAUAUUUUAAGUUCUAACAACAGAAUCUAAUUAGUCAGAAAAAAAAAAAUACUCUCUCUGUCUUAUAAAUAUAUAUUUACUUUAUCUUUUUUUUUAGACCACUUUUAUCACUACAAAAAAAACGGCAUUUUGUGACCGACCAAUCGGUCGCAAAAUGCCAAAAAAUCGGUCGCUAAAUCAAUUAGAGACCGAUUUGCGACGAAUACUGUCGGUCGCAAAUAAUCGGUCGCAAAUCAGUCGCAAAUCGGUCGCAGAAGUUAUUCCUAAUUUUGAAGCGCGCAAUUUUGCGACGGAAUAAAACGUAGUCGCAAACCGAUCGCAAAAUCGGUCGCAAAUCCGUAGUACAUUAGUCGCAAACUGAAAAACAAACUCCCGAGAAUUUUUAGCACUACAAUUAGCGACUGUUUGUCCAUAGAUCGCAAAUCGAUCGCAAAAUUGCGACUGAUUUGAAUCGAUCGCAAAUCGGCGAUUUUUUUUGUAGUGUAUCGUGGAAGAUACAAUUAUUUUCUUACUCUCGUAACCUACCUGAUACUUUGUUAGUAACAACGUUUGCAUUUUUUAUUGAAAGUGACAUAUUAUCUUAAUAUAGGGUAUGUUAGGAAAAAUGAAAGUAAAAUUUAAUAUUAUUCUAAUAAUAUUAAUUGCAUUGUUUAAUCUAUGUAAAAAUAAAAAUAAUCGUAUCUUUUUAGGCAAAGAGAGUAAUAUAAUAAAAAAAUUAAAAUUAAGCUUGACAUGUAUACUAGAAUGGAUUAAAUUAAAUAAGAUACUGUUAUUUUUCUUUAACAUUAAAUAAAAAGUUAAGGCCAAAUCAAACUAAAUUAUAUAUGAUAUAUAUUAUAUAUAAAAUACGAGGAUAAUGAGUUCCUAAAAUGCGUCGCUAAAUUUUCAAAUUGACAAAAAUAUUAUGGAUCGAGAACUUUAAUUUUGUUGGUUGAAAAAUAAAUAUAGUUUAAUUUUAAUUGUUUACGUCAAUUUGCUAUUUGAAUCUAAAUUUUAUUAAGAAGUUUAAUCUAAUUUUAAAUAGAAAAUUUUCUAAUUUAGUUUCAUGCAAAUUUGGAUAAAAAUAAAAUAAAAUAUUAUUAUUUAGAAAUUUUAAUUUAAUUGCUUAACUAAUUUCCUAUUAUAUAAUGAUUUGCUAUAUGUAAGGGAGAAAAAAAAAACGAUUACGUUAUAUUAAUCCUAUUAUACUACUUUCUACAUUGAAGGAAAAAAAAAACAACUGACUAAUUUCUUUCUGUUAUAUUCAUACCUUCUAUUCGUGGGUAAUAUAUAUAUAUAUAUAUAAAUAUUAAUAUAAAUAUAGAAAUUAUUAAUAUAAAUUAUUAUUAAUUAUUAAUAUAAAAUUAUAUAUAUAAAUAUAGAUAUUAUUAAUAUAUAUAGAUUUUGUUUUAAAAAUGAGUUUGAAAAUUAGCUUAUUCGACUCAAUUAGGAAUAUUAACUCGAUUAGGAGUAAGAAAUUAGCUUAUUCCACAAAUUAUAUGAAAUCAAUUAUUUACAUAAGCUAGUGUGAAAAAAUUUAUAGUGUUAUCAAAAUCCUUAAUUGUAGCGGUAUAUAUGAUAAAUCCCUCUUAACUUUUAGGGUGUCACAGUUGUUUUUUUUUUNNNNNNNNNNNNNNNNNNAUUAAUUUAGAUAUUUGGCUACAUAAUUAAUUAUUUCUUCUAUAUGUUUAGAUUUUGAUUUGAUAGAAAUAGAAUAAUAAUAAGGAGAUGACUGCAAUAAAUUGAAUUUUUUUUAUAAAAAGAAACCGAGCAAAGCUGAAAUUUGUUUAGAACCAAAUCAAACUAAUUUAAUUAAGCUUAGUUUGAUUUACCUUUUUGAUUUUUCCUUAUUUUUUAAGAUUUUAAAACUUAAAUAGUUAAAAAAAAAAAGAAUUUUCGAUUUUUCUGUAUACACUAAAAUUGAACUGAUAAAUUUUGAAAUCAAAUCCAUUCGAUUCGGUGAAUUCAGUCUAUUUUUUCAGAUAGUUCUCAGCCUAAUCCAAAUGAUGAAAUAUGGUAUGAAUAUAAAAAUUUCCAUUUAAAAUUCACAAGGAAAAUUUCUUUUCCUAAGAUAGCAUAUAUCUAUUUACGUUAAUUUUUUUUUUAAUCUAUAAAAUCAGUCCAUCUUAUAUUGUCAAAAUCAUUGCAAAUCAUAGAUUCAUAACUAAGUGCUCGUUAAGAUUAUCUAUGGCUCGUCCUAUCUUUAGCAUUUUAGCAGCUUUUUUGCUUAUUAUCGAGUUCCAUGACUUUGUUGGUAUGUUAUAUUAUUAUUUUUCUGAAAAAUAUUAUCAUAUUUGAUUAUUAUUAUACUUUGUACAAGUUUUUAGGAUUUGUUGGGCAAAAUUAACUGUUUUAGUUGUAUUUGAUUGUUAGUUAUUAACUGUUUGAGUAGUCCUAAAACAUUACAAGUUAAAUGUUAGAUUGGUUAAUUUUUUAUAAAACGCUACCUUAACUUCUAAAUUGAAUUGGUUAGACAGUUUAAACAAAAGUUUUUCUUCCCUUACUUCUUAUUUAAGUUACACAGUUUUUUCCAAAUGCUAAUUUUCUUGCCUGGUAAACCACCAUUGGUGCGAUGCAGGAGCAGAAAUUGGUGUGACCUUCUCAAGACUAGCAGACAACUUUCCACCAGCACAAGUAGCUGUAAAAUUUGCUAAAUCGAAGGGCUUCAAAAGAAUUCGUCUUUACAAGCCCCAUCACGAUGCGUUACAAGCACUGAAAGGUCAGGGCAUACAAGUGAUCUUAGGAGUUGGCGACGACGAAGUUGAAGCAGUAAGUAAAUCCGCUGCACCGAAAUGGGUCAAAGACAAUGUUGUGCCAUAUGCAAAUCAAAUAACCAUUAUAGCCAUAGCUAUUGGACAUGAUCUAAUCCCUAAUAGUAAAUUAGCAGUUUACGUUCUUCCUGCACUGCAAGCAAUGAAAGAAGCACUGGUAGAUCAUGGGCUUCCUUUUAUUUCUGUAACAACGCCAUUUACAUUAGAUACACUUCUUACACAUUUUCCUCCAUCCCAUUCAACUUUUGAUCCAGAAAAGAUUUAUCUUAUUAAACCCAUUAUCAAUUUCUUGGCAACUCAAAGUCCUCUUCUUUUAUGCGAUAUUUACCCUUAUGAAACUUAUCUAAGGGACUCUCACCUUGUCAGUUUAAAUUAUGCUUUGCUUAAUAAUACAAAUGUUGAGGUUGUAGAUGUUCCAUUCGGAUAUACCAAUAUGCUUGAUGGUUUAGUAGAUGCUUUUUACAGUGCAAUUGAAAAACUUGAAAACCUUGAAGCAGGAACUGUUAAGAUUGUUGUGAGUGAAACUGGGUGGCCGUUUUCCGAAGAAAUAUAUGCUUCUGCUCAAUAUGCAAGAACGUAUGCUUCAAAUGUGUUCAAACGGGGACAAGCAAAUACAGGAACACCGAAGAAACCUUCUUGGGCAUUGGAUGUUUUUGAAUAUAACUUGUUUUUUCAAGAUAAUGCUCCUCUAGAUAAGAAACCAUAUGCUUUAUUUUACCCUAAUAUGUCUGCCAUAUAUUUUAAUUAGGGUUUGUAUUGGAUAUUGUAAAAUCUUAUCACUUUUUUAUUUUAUAACUUAUUGUGUGUAAGAAUAAAUGUGAAAUAAUUUAUAUAUUUUAAGAUUUGCUGUCUGAAGUUUUCAUAUUUUCCAAAUUCAGUUCGAAAAGAAUUCCUUACAAAUUAUAUUUUGCCCACUCAAAAUGUAAAAAAUUAAUAUUUCACAGCAUUUGUUUCAGCCCUUGAACUUUAUUUUCUAAUUUCACCCUGCACUUAAUAAUGCAUGCAUUUCUUUCUUUUUCUUUUCUCUCUCUCUUUUUUUUUUUUUUUUCCGUUAUUUGUGUAUACCUAUCAAUGCUGGCUAUAAUGCCAAGUAAGAGUUCAUUGAGAUAAUAAAUAUUUUCUAGGUAGAUUAGGUUAAAAUCUAUUGCAUUUUGGCAGAAAUAACAAGUUAAUUAAGAAGAGGCUUAUAAAUUAAGAAAAGAAUUGCCUACUCCUCGCGUAUAUCCAGUUAUUCGUUCAUAUGCCAAAUCAAUUAAACAAAUGUUUUUGGCUGUAAUGGGAUAUUUUUGAUCAUUCAUUGAAAAAAAAAAUGAUAGAACAAUAAUAAAUUAAAAAAACUUCUAUUGAUUGAUUUGUGUAUGAUAAAUAUUUAUUAGAGACUUAACUGUAAUUUAUAUAUAAGACCUAAUUAUAUUUUAUGAACUAAAUAUUAUAUUGUGCAUAGAAUUUGAUUACGAUUAUUUCUAAUCAUUCGUCAACACUCAAUUCAUGAUCAAUCACUCCAAAAUAAUUAUUCAAUUGGUAUUUCAAACACUUGUUUAAUAAGGAUUCCAACUACAACUUUAAUCAAUAUCUUUCUACCAAACUCUCUACUCAGUUAGGCAAUAUCUACGCAAUAGGCAACAUAAUAUCUAUUUAAUUGGGAUUAUUUAUUAUUCUUUUACUGAGUUAAGAAUCAAAGUGGUUACUGAUCUAAGAGCCCCUCUUUUCUCUCCCUUCUCCAUCCAUGUCUUACAGAUUUCUAUAUCGGUAUAUUAUGGAUAAAUUUUUCUGAAUAUAUCACCUGUAAAUGCUGGCUAAAAUGCCAAGCAAGAGUUGAUUGAGACUUUUCUAUGUAUUUUAGGUUAAAAUCUAUUGCAUUUUGGCAAAAAUAACAAGUUAAUUAAGAAGAAGCUUAUAAGUUAAAGGAAAAGAAUUGCCUACUCCCUAGUGUAUAUUCGCUCACAUUCUAAAUCAAUCAAAAAGAUGUUUUUGAUUGCAAUGAGGUAUUUCUGACCAUUCACUGAGAAAAAUAUAAAACAAGAAUAAAUUAAAGAAAAACCUUUAUUUUUUUUUAGAAGAAAGAAAAUCUCUAUUAAUUGAUUUGUCGUACGAAAUUAUCUCAUAGUGUAAGUAUAGGCAAAUUUUAUCAUAUAAAUUAUAGGUCAAAACGAUGAGAUAUUAUAAGGAUACAACAUCUCCUUUUGAAAUUCACCACUUGGAAAAAAUGAGAUUCCCUCCCAAAUUUCAUUAAUAUGAAAAUCUUUUUGUCUCUAAUAUGAAAUUUUUUUAUUAUUUAAAUAUUUUUUAUUGAAACCAUUUUAAUGAUUCUUAACAAAAUACUAUAUAUUUGCUUACUUUUCACCCAUCAAUGAUUACAUUCUAUAUUUGCACCAAGACCAACAAAUCAUUUGUUCGUCUUAGUGAAAUAGCCAUUUGAUUAUUUAAAUAUUUUUUGAUAUUAAAGUCAUUGUUUAUUCAUUUGAUUUUUCAACUUUUUGCAUUGCAGUGAAAUUACUGAUUGACGAAGUAGUUUUAGUGCAACAUUCUCUGUAUUACAGCACACAGUAAAUAGUUUCCAUUUUGCAUCAAAUUGGAAAAUAGUUUUUGAAACAACAUUAUUUUUGUUAAUGUCUUUAUUAAUGGGAAGUAAAAGUUGAUUUUUAGGUUAGAGUCUAUUGCAUUUCAAAAAAUAGCAUUUUGUUAUAAAUAAUAACAAAAAACGAUGAUAUAUGGGAAGGACAUAAAAUUUCCUUUAAACUCAUCAGAAUAAAAAAAAGAAAAUGAUUUUUCCUUCCCAAACUUUUUUUUUAUAUGUAUAGUAUUGUCAGUCCAUCUUGUAUUGUCAAUAUCAUUACAAAUCAUAAUCAAGUUCUUAUGGUUAUGGUUCACUCUAUCUUUAGCCUUUUAGCAGCAUUUUUGCUUAGUAUUGAGCUCCAUGACUUUGCAGGUAUGAUAUAUUAUUUAUUUAUUUAUUUUUUGCAAACUUAAUUAACUGAAUUUAACUACUUAUAAACUAUCAUUUCUCUGUGCAGGAGCUCAAACUAGUGGUGUUAACUUAUGGCAGAGUUGCUGACAACCUUCCCUUUCCUCAUCAAGUAAUACUGUGUUACAACAACUAAGUUCUGCUAUUACAACAGCUAUAAUUUUUCCCAGCCUCGUCAUUUCUGUAAGUCUUGUCGCCGUUACUGGACCCACGGCGGCACCCUUCGUGACAUUCCGGUUGGUGGUGGCACUCGGAAAAAUGCUAAAAGAUCACGCACCACUUCUAGUGGUUGUACUGUAGUAGGUCCUAUGACGGCCAACACAGGUGACCAUAACCUUCCAUUACCGGCUACACCAGUACUGGUCCCACUUAUGACCAAUCAAGCAACGUCUAUACAGUUUGGCUGCGGUGGCGGUGAUGGGAAGGGUAAUGUGUGUGGUUCUAGUGGUAAUUCUACAGUAUCUGGUAGCUUUACUUCUCUGUUGAAUACUCAGGGUCCUGGAUUUCUAGCAUUGAGUGGGUUUGGGGUUGGACUUGGAUCUGGGUUUGAAGAUAUGGGCUUUGGGCUUGCAAGAGGAGUCUGGCCUUUUCCCGGUGUAGGAGAAGGUGGUGCCGGUGGUGUUGGUAGCAAUGGCG
rnacentral:lncRNA from 1 species